CUCACUUCUAAAUGUUAUUAAAGAAAGCCGCGAAUUUUUGCCUUAUUGAUCCUGUCUUCUCCAAAAUGUUGCAGAAGCUGCACCUCCACUCGGGAGGUUGUUAUCAAUUUAUCACUCUGCUUUCGUGGAGGGAGUUCAAACGGACUUCAAGAUUGAACCAUCGUUUGGAGUUGAAGCCUCGCAGCUUUAUCCUGAUGUCAAGUACACUACAGUUGAUGAGUACCUCAAUCAGUUUGUGUAACCCUUCUCUGCUUCCAGCUGCAGCUUGCAGGAUCUUGGACUCUGGGUAAAUAAAUAAUGGGCUUGUUGCAAUCUUUGGUUUUUAUAUGUAAAAAUUAUGGUUGUUGGCCUUACUUUCUUCUGGUUGUCAAUGGAAUUUGUAAGACCAUUUUAUGUUUGCUAUGUCAGUGAUCAAAUGAAGUAGGCCAUGUACUUGAUCUGAGAAUAAUUAUAAAGCCAACAUGGUCAGGUGAGUGCGUCUGUGGGGCUUUUAUUAGGGUGCGUGUGUGAGGCUUCUGAGGGGCUUGUGAUAUGGGGUCUACAGCCCCUAAUGGGCACGCGACUGCGUGCACUAAAUGAAGUUAUUAUAAAAAUAAUUAUAGAGUCACCAAGGCAAAAAUUAAAAGUAAUUUGCCAAUAAAAAUAGUUAAAAGUAAUAAAAAGUAGGUAUUAUAUUUCAAAAAUCAAUUUUUCAUUAAUGUUUAUAAGAUUAAAUUUGUUCUUAUCUUUCCUUAAUAAACACAAAAAUUUAUCGUUUUGGACUAAUUAAAAUUUUAAAACUAGCUAACAAGCAAACCGCCAUUAAUUUUUUUUUUUCCAUUUCUUUAAUCAUUCUUUUUUCUCUUUUUGACCUUUUUCUUUUUCUUUUCUUCAGUCCUUAUUUUUCUUUUCUUUUUUGGUUUUCCUCUAAACUCUUUAAGAAAGGCUGCCAAGCCUUGAAAAUAUCUCAAAAAAUAAGAUUUUCUUUCUUAAGAUUAACAUUUUAACCACAAAAAUAAAACUCUAGUCCAAACAUUGAGCACUUACAAAUCAAACGAUAAAAACCUCUUAUUAGUACAUUAACCGUAAAAUAAAAAAGAAUUAUCACAAAUAUUGAAAUGUUGUUGUUUGAUGCUUGAGAUUCUUGAAAUGUAUGCAGAAUUCCGACAAUAUUUUGUUGAAGCAACUCUCGGAAACUUGUUUGUUGAGAUUGAUGAAGAGUCCAUGGCAAGUAACCAGGCAUAUUGCAAUCCUUGUAAUUAUUCUGACCGAGAACAAUAAAACAAAAAGUGAAAACUGAAGAAAAUGAUAAGAAAACAAUAGAAUAAUAAUAUUAAAAACUCGCUAAUCUUGCCCAAUUUUUUUUUUUUUUGGAUAAUGUUCAGCGUAUACUAGAAUCUUUUAGAGCAGAAGCAAAACAGCAACAACUUUUCAAGAAAAGAAAAAAAAAAAGAAUUAUUAAAGAAAAUGGAAAAAAGAAUUAACGGCAGUUUAUUUGAUAGCUUUUAGAUAGCCAAAACCGGUGAGUUUUUGUGUUUUAAUAAGGAUAGUUAGGAAUAAAUUUAAUCCUCUCUAUAGAAUCAUUUAGUUACUAUGUGUCAAAAUCUCCUGUAAAGAAUAGGAAAAAUUAAAUUAGAAGAGGAUCCAAAUCAGGACUUGACUAGCUUACAGAAUCUGUAAGCUACGGACUGCAGCAUCAGCCGUUGGAUGUGGUUGGAUGUGGAGUGAGAAAUUAAACAAUAGAAGAUCGGAUGGUGGGAUGACGGGAGAUGUUUGUUACAGAAUCUGUACCAUAGACAGGUCCUCCAAAUCAUCAACAUCUUGGAAUAAACAAAAGAAUCUAAACAAAAGAAACUCGUUUUGCGUGUGAACCAGUUCAAGAUAAAGAGCAGACUAUUGGAAAGAGACAAAUACUACAAGAAUAACAAAACAUUCUACAGUUACUACAUAAGCCUGCAACAAUUAAUUAUUAACUCAAGAUUUAUUACACUUUUUCUUUAAUUUGACAAAGAAACCAAAAAUGAAAUAAAAUUGACAACAGCAAUGAUAUGCUUACAACAAUGAGUAUGAAACUUAGUACAACAAGGACCUUUUUGCUAAUUUUUUCAAAUUUUUAUGAUAUUUUAGAAUUUAUGGGUUUUAUUGAUUUUGAUAAAUUGGAGCAUUUCUCCAUUCAUCUUUUCUGCAUCUAUCCCUAAAUUUCUUAUCUUUGUAAAGUUUUAACUAUGUCUUUGUAAAGUUCUAAAUGAUUAUCUCGUUCAUAGAGAUCUAUAGUUAAAUUAAUUCUUGUAUUUAUAAUCAUUUGUCUCCUUUGAGACAUAGACCAAAUUUUUUCUUCUAACAUUCCUAUGUAUAUUCCUAAGCUAUAUUUCCAGCUUAGGUACAUCUUAUCUAGGAUUUCACAAAUAAAUUGUAAUUUGAGAUCUGCAUCUUGAAUCAACAUCACCAUAUUAUUAUUAUUAUUAUUAUUAUUAUUAUUAUCCAUUGUUUUAUACUCGAUUUUGGGUUCUAUUACUAGUCGCACUUGUCUUGGAUUAUUUCAAGGCUAGAUAGAAUUGAUUCUAUUAAUGCUAUCCUGUUUCCUUCUUCAAAUGAAUCGAAUAUUUUUGGAUCAAUAAUUCUUUUCAUUUCUUCAUACAAGUGUUUGCUUGUAAUUAAUCUAGUUUUAACUAUGGAAAUUGUAUAAGCAACUUGAUAUUCUUGACUAAAGUCUAGAUGAUCAAUUGCGUCUAGAAAUUUAUUAACAGAUCUUUCCAUUUUUAUGAAAUUGAGUUACUUUUAUCACUUCCUAUCUUAUAACAUUUCAGAAUACAAACAAGGCCCAACAUGCUUCCAUUUGUUGCUAAAAUAAAAGAAUAGAGUUCAAGAUUACUAACCAGUGUACAUUUCUCGGAAUUCUAAGAUAGAUUCACUAAUUGCCUCCAACCAUAGAGAGGUCUAUGGUUAACUCCGCCAUAGCUCCACACAUCAUAUAAGAUCACUUCAACGACUGUUACAUAGGCCCAACGCAACAUAUAGCAAACGGGCCUAAAAGAAUAUGUCUAAGUGAUUUGCUUACAGCUGUCUCUGGAAGAGUGCUUAGUAGUAGAAAAUCUUCUUCCUUUAGCACAAGUAUUGGCAUGUAAGGUUCUUGGUUAUUUUCUAAGAGUAUAUAAGAUAUCUGGAAGAUGACAAUUUCGCUCAAAAGAGUUUUAUUUAUUUCAUCAUUGAAAUUAUUUACAGAGGAUGGUUACAGAGAAUACAGGUGUAGGUGUAGGUGUAGGUGUAGGUGUAGGUGUAGGUGAAGGUUAGGCAUGUGAUGUCCUUCCCUUCUUACAUGUUUCUAUUUAUAAUCUUAAAUAGAUAAGGUUAUCUCUUUUACAUGACACUUGUUUAAUUCUCUUGGUGGAUUGUGGAUUCUUUCCUGAUAAGGUGACCCUUCUUCUUUUUAUCAUUAAAGACAGUGGUUGUCUUCUUUUCCUGGUGGUAGACAGCCUUUAUCUGGUUGUAGUGUGCUUUAUCUUUUUGGAAUCUUUCUUUUUGAAUUAUUAAUGCUUUUAGGAUAGCACCUUUUAUCUUUUCCAAUGGUUCCUGUCACAUGCCAAGUAUCAAAUCUUCCUCUAGUGACAUGUCUUCCCCACUAGAAUCCUUUUUUGAUCCUUCGUAGCAGUAGCCACAUGAUGACUGAUGUUUUAGCACCUUGCAUACCUCGUGAUGUGUCAGUAAGCUGGAUUCCACGAGAUUUUCAUAUAUUGCCUUUUUCUUUUUUGAUAUGGCCUGUCUGGCUAAAAUGCUUUCUUUUCUACUUAUAGAAAAGAUUAUAUGCUCCUUUGUGGCUUCGUGGAGCCAUAUUUUUUCCUCACUUAUCCUCUCAAGAGAUUCAUAGAGGACUUUCAUUCCUACGGCUCUUUUGCUGGUGAGAGCUUUGGGUUCGAAAAAUUCAGGAUCAUAAUCAUUAUAGACUUGAUCUAUAUCAAUAGUUGGACUAACUUUUUGCUGCUAAUUCUAACUUAAAUCAUGUGCUGUGCUACCACUUGUUUUCACCGUAUUAAGGGCAAGCAGUGAGGAUCUUGAUAAAAAUUAGUUCUUUUGUUUUGGAUAUCCUUUUGUGGUCAUUAACAGCCUCUGUAUUUUUUUCUAGGAGCUCUUUUAUUUUCCUACAAUCAUCACGGACAUAAACAAGGUUAAGAAAACCGUAUUCAAACAUGUCUUUUAUCAAUUUUGGAUAAGCUCCUAGCACAAAUUUUAUCCUUGGGUAUAACCCUGAAUGAUAUGGUAUUAUAGUCUGGUUAUGAUGAAUCACAUAAGUUAUUUUACCAAUUCUUUUAUAAUUAUAAGCGUUGUCGCUUCCUAAUGGAUUUUUAACCAUAGGAACAGACUGUCCGCUUUUAUUAUAUUGGGGCCUUAAGCUCACUGAAGACCUUUGAGAUUCUUCUUUCUUCAUAUAUUAUUCUUUGAGAUCAUUGAUUGUGAGAAAUUUCUCUAGAUGUGUGACCUUUGAGUUCUGUGAAGAACUCUGGGCAAUCUGAUCCUUAGUUUGAUCCUUAAAAUGGACCUUUUUUUAGCAUAUUACUAAUAGAUUGUUAUGAAAUUUGGACUUCUGGAUGAUUUUGCAAACUUUUCUAUAGGCAAAGUUUGCUCAAUUCUUCAUGGGCAUCAUCUAUCAUGGCAAGCCUAUUAUAAAUUAUACCAUUGCCUUUGAGAAGCAAUUCUUGACCUUCAGAGCACAUUAUUAUGCCCUUAAUUAUUUUGGAAAGACCCUUCUCCAUUGUAUUCUCGGCUAAGAAAAUUUGCAAUAGAAUUGUUAGAUCCUUUAAUAUAUUCAAUUUCAAAAUCAUAUUCAGCAAAAAAACCGUUGCCAUUUAAUUAAUCUUUUAUAUUAAGGGAGAUUAGGCAAUUUAUUAAAUAUAAAUCCUUUAACUCGAGUGUUAUCAGAUCUUACCUUGAAUUUCUUUGGUAACAAAAAAAAGUAAAUUUAGCUAUUCCAUUUUUAAUAGUUAACAGUUCAUUUUCAUUACUAUGAUAAUUCUUCUAUGCGGGUUUGAAUGUUCUGGUGGCAUAUCUACAAAUCUUUUCUUGAUCUGUUUUUAAGACUACACCCCAGUAAUUAUCUGAAGCAUCGGUCUCAAGAAUUAAAUUAUCACUAGAAGUAGGGAAUCCUAAUCUUGGAAGAUUUUUACAUUUUUCUUUCGAUUUUUUUACUACUUUGGUAUGGAGAUCUUUCCAUGAUUUAGUAUUAUUCUUUUUUAAUAAUCCUUGUAAAGAUUGUCUUUCUUUAGCUAAGUUUUCUAUGAAACCUUCAGCAUAAUUAAGAUAUCCUAAAAAUAUUUGAAUUUGUUCUUUAGAUUCUAAUUUAUUUGGGAAUAGAUAUAUUUUCCAAAAAUAUGAGGUUGCAUCUCAAUUCCUGUUUCAUCUAUUAUUAACCCUAGAAAUUCUAUCUUGAGUUUCAUUAUUUCAGCUUUCUUUUUAGGGAGUAAUAUUCCAUGUUUCUUGCAUUUCUCUGCAAAAGAAACGAGAUGAUUAAUAAGAUAUAUCUUAUUAUCUGAAAAUAUAAAAAUAUCAUCUAAAUAAACAAUGUAGAAUUCAUGAAAUUCUUUGAAGAUUUGAUCCAUCCUUCUUUCAAAUAUUUUUGGUGCAUUUUUCAAUCCAAAAGGCAUUACAAUCCAUUCAUAUUAUCCUUGAGGUGUACUAAAGGCAGUAAGUGGUAUACUUUCUACUUUAAGUUUGAUAUGUCAAAAUCCAGAUUUGCAAUCAAACUUGCUAAAUGUCUUUUUAUCGGUCACGGAGAUAAUUAAUGUAUCUUUAUAAGGUAAAAAAUAUCCAUUGAAUUUGGUAUAUUUAUUUAAUUCUUUGUAGUUAAUAACCAUGCGAGCUUUUCCUCAUUUAAUUUCUACAUGAUUUCUAACCAUAAAGGCUGGACUACUAUGAGGACUUUUAGAUUUCAAAUAAUCUUAAGUUCUAAUAACUCUUCAAUUUUUUUUAUCAAAUUCUUGUCCAUGUUCUUGCCCAUCUCUCAUAGGCUUAACUCUUAUGAUACCAUUUAGAUCUGUUAAUUCGAUCUUAGCAUAUGUUUAAUCAAUUUCUCAUAAUUGAAUUGGGUUUUCACCAAAAUUUUUAUCAAGUUUUUCUAAAAUUUUUUCAUAGUCUAACAUGAUUUGAAUGAUUUUUAUAGUGUAAUCAACACACUGACUGUGUCGAAAAUGUAAUUUUUGAGUUGUGCGCCUAACAAGGUUAUAAAUUCUCGGGGUAGUAAUGGAAUGAUUACAUGGUGUUUUGAGAGUAAUGGCUUCAUUAGUCAUUAUAUAAAUGAAUUGACGAAGGAAAUUAACUCCUAAAAGUAUAUAUGUUCCCAUAUGAUCAUAAGACCAGAAUAUAGGGAUACUUAAGAUGUAAUCUUCGAUUUGGAUUAAAGUCUUAAUCCUACAAGUCCCUAAGGUGAUCUGUUCAUCAUUUGUUCCUUAUCCUUUUAAAGGCUUAUAAUCUUUCCAAUAUGGUUUUGGAUAAAUCCUAGAACUGGCAAAACUAACUCCUAAACCAGUAUCGAUUAAAGCAUAAAACCAUUCCAGUUUAUGUUUAUAAUAUGGUAUAAUCACUUUUAUAUAAAUUAUAAAAGGAUUAGACAUAUCUUGAUAUGGUUUGCUUAAUUCCUUCAAUUGUUAUACUUAUUUCUCUAUCUCCUGUACAAUAAGGAGAGAAAUUCUAAAGAAAGUUCAUCCCUAAUAAUAAAGGAUUUAUUUCUGUUUCAUAAUAUGGUUCUAUGAAAAAAGGAAAGAUGAAUUUUGUUCCUUUUAUUUUUAAUGGUAUUUUACAAUAUUUUCUUAAUGUCUUUCUUUCUCUAUUAAAUCCUACAUAAGUAUGAGGUUCAAUUAGAAUUUUUCUUUCUAAAUAUUUAAUCAUUUUAGCAUCUACAUAAGAUUUUGUAGCUCAUGUAUCAAGGAUAGCAAAAGUCUCGUGCCAUGAUUUUCCAUUAUUAUAGUCAAUCUUAAUUUUUAGAUUUUGAUUAUUUUUUCUAAUUGUGGCUAAUAUUUCAUGUGAUGGUGGUGUCACAAGAUGACUACAUCUAGUAAAACUUUGGGUUCCUCUGAAUUUUGGUUCUCUUUUGGGUAUAGAGAAUGAUCUUUUAUGUCUUAUAAUGAUUCUUCCUUCUGGAGUAUAUUCUAUAGAUUUAGUAGUAUUUCCUUUAAUCAGAGUAGGUUGACUACUUAGAUUCAUUUUCCAUUCUUAUGAUAAAUAUAUUUCUCUCUGGAUUUCAGGAUAUUUUAUAUUUCUAACUUUACUAAAUAAUUUAUCUAUUUCAAUAAAAUAUUUAUUAGCAAACAUUUCACUAUUUGCUGAAUUUGUUAAUGCAUAUUUUAUGGCAUACAUUAUGCUAUAUGGAUAAGACCCCUCAUGCAUUAUAUCAAAGUAUUUAAAAUCAUGACAUAAGGUUAAUGUUUUAUUUAUAUUUCUAUCCCUAAGACUUAUAGAAUAUUUAGGAUAUAUCUUAAAUAUCAAUUUUUUAUAACUCAAGUUUCCUUGUAUUAUUCUAGGGACUGCAUGUUUUCGAUCUUGUAUUCUAUUAUCUAGUACUGCUAAAAUUAUUGGACUAUCUAUUCCUUCCCGAAAAUGAGCUUUUAUCAUAAACUGAAUUCCUCCAAUAUGAUCAUAUCCAAUUUUGGGUCUAUUGCUAGAUUUUAUCUUACUGAUUUUAUCUUCUAUAUCAGUCUUUAAUAAUAAUGGUAUAUUUGUAUUUCCCUUAGCAUACCUAAUUUCAAUAUGUUCUUCUCACACAGUAGCACUGAAAUACAUAACAUUUUUUCUUUUAAUCAUGGUGGCAAUUCCUAGAGCUAACUUAUUGACUGAAGUCAAGGAUGAUUCUAAUCAUUUUUUUGUUAAUCUUGAGGUAUUGUUUUUUUUUUUUAUCAAAGAUUAAUUCUUUGUUAAAAGAACCUUGUUCUUCUAAUUCUUCAUCUUGAUAUAAAUGCUUAUUAUCUAAUUCUUCUAUACUCAUUCCAAAUAUGAUUUUGAAUCUGAGCUACUUAAAGUUUCUUCAGAAAGAUAAUAUAUGCUAUCACUUUCACUAAUACCUUCACUAUCUGUGAUUAAUUCUAAAUCAUUAAAAUCCUCAAACAUUUUUAUAUUUUCUUUUUUCUUUUUAGGACAUUCAUUUGUAUAAUGCCCUUCUUCAUUACAUAACCACCACUUGCAUUCUUUAACUACAUUGGUUUUAAAUCUUCUUUUAAAUUUAUUUUUCUUGUAGAAUUUCUUCUUAUAUUUAUUUUUCUUGUAAUAUUUCUUGUUGCCUUUAAAGAAUCUCUUCUUUUUGAAUUUAUUCCUAUAUUUAUAAGUUUUAUCUGAACAUCCAAAUCUUGGUGGAUCUUCUAACUUAGAGCAAAACAAUCCUUGAUUUAGCCUUUUCAUAAGUCUGUUAUCUCUUAUUUCAGCACACCAUUCACUCAUUCUAUUUCGAGCAAACCUAAUCUUAUUUCCUAAGGUAUCAGUCUCUGUUGUAUCUUCAUAUUUGUUGUUAUAUUCUAGCAUAAUCCUUUUCUCCCAUGGGUCUGGUAUCCUUAUAAAAUAUAGAUCUUAGUAAUAGCAUAUGCUACUUUCAUCUAAUUCACAUUUAUAAUAUAAUUCUUCAAAGCUACACGUGUAUUCUUCUAAAUAACAUAUAUUACAUAUUUCAAGCCUUGUUAGUUUUAUUACAUUUUCCAUCUUUUUUUCACUUUAUUUCUUAUUGAAAACCAGUUUCUCAAUCUUCUCCUAGGAAUUUUUUUCUUAUUUCAUUUUCAAAUCUAUUUAAAACUUGAUCCAAGCUUUCAUUUUGAUUAUUAUUUUCUCCAUACAAUAUUUUAUUUUUGUUAUUAUCGUUUAGUCCCAUAAACGAAUGUGACACUAUUCCUACAAAUGAAGUUUUAAGGAAUUCUAUACUAUUAUUCCUAUCUAUUUUGUUAAAUACAAAUGCCGUUUUCAUAGAUUUAACCCAAGCGAUAAUCGUUUUAUCUCUAUCUUUGACAUAGUCUAAAUCUAACCAUACUCCAUCAUGGUUGAUUGGUCUCUCUCUAUAUUUUCCUGGAGUUUUAUAAUUUUUUUAGGCUUGUUAACCCUAAAAUAUUGAUGUUGUGAUCUUUCAUGAGCUAGUAUUUCUUCUCUAGUAUAGGAAGCUCUAUUACUAGAUUCUCCUUGUUAAAAAACCGUUGGUUUUGAUUCAUUCAUUUUUAAUUGUUCUAUUCUAUUUUCAAUAUCUCAUAAGUUAAUGAGUACAUCCUCUUCCUCUUCGGAUUUAGAUUCUUCAUUGGAUAUUUCUGGAUUGUAUAAUUCUUUUAAUCCAUUGUCUACAUUUUCACUUAGCAUCCUUAAACUUAUUAAUUUUUUAUCUUAGUUUUUUGUUAAAUAUUGUCUAGAUAUUGCUAUCAUUUCUUUAUCUUUCUUUUCGUUGUAGUAAAUUAUGGUGUCUUGUAAGGUUUUAUUUUUUUUUCUUGAAUUACCAUGAGUAAUUCUUCCAUAUUGUUAUUUAUCUUUUGUAUUUCAAUCCUUUUGUAGUUUUCUAUGAAAAAUUAUUUCUAUACACCUCUCUCCUAAUUCUAAAUAGGAGAAUAGGAUCGAUGUUUAAAUUUCUAUUCUUUAUUAUUUUGAGUUCUCCAAUUCUAAAUUCAUGAGCUCUAGAUAAAUAAAAUUGUUCUAAUUGUUUAUCAUCUAAUAUCUCAAGUUUUGAAUAAUAAUAUUGUUUAUGUUUAGUUAUGUUAUCCUUUAUAGUAUUACUAUCUACCAUUAGAUUAUAUCCCCUAUUAUUAAUAAAAUAAACAAUUGUUUCUUCCAUUUUUAUAUUUUGAACCAAAAAUCUGGUUCUGAUACCGUUUUUGCAGACAAUUUUCAAUCCUAAGAUCCAAGUAAGGAUGUAAAUGAUUAAUCUUUAAAAUCUUAUGAAUAUUUUACAAUUUUGCUUUUUUAAAACACACAGUUUUAUGCUAGGUGUUGUGCAAUCUUUUGUAAAAAUUCAUGAACCAAUACUAUAUUGACUUCUCCUAAAAUGCAUAGGUUUGUUAUGAAAUUCUAAGUGUACAACCCAAAAAGUGGGGUGAAUUGGGUUUUUAAAAAUUUAAGCAAUUAUAACCACACAAAAAUUUCAAUUAAUGUCUUAUUUGAUUCAAUAACAAUAAUUUUAACAAUGAAUAAAGUAAAGAGAUGAGGGAGAAGAGAGCAAACAUGAGAUUUUUACAUGGUUCAGCAAAACCUGCCUACGUUGACGCCUCCAAGCUCACUAUGCUUGAAGAUUUCACUAUCCAAGCAUUACAACCCUAAGGCUUCAAGAUGCUUACAAUUGAUUUCUAAGGUUUCCAUGGACCUUUACAUCCAGAGGUUCUCUCAAACCUCUUAACCAAGUGUUUCUCACACUUACAACCACUUAAUUGUGAUAUUGAAAAAAAGUUACACAAAUUUUCCACUCACACAAUAUAUGUGUUUACAACUAAAAGCCUAGAGUGUGUUUCAAUGAAAGAAUAAAAACAUUUAAGCUCAAGACAGAUUAAACAUGCAAAAGUAAGCUCAAUGCCAAUUUUUGAAUUCGUUAUUGAUUGAAUAUGAUUAAUCCUUUUGAUAGUUGGAGCUGAAAACUAGCCGUUAUUGACUUUCUGCACAAGGUCGGAUCAUCGUUAAUACUUAUCGGACUGCUGUUUUGACUUGAUCAAGUUACCGUUAGGCGAAAAUCUAAAUUUUCGGAUCACCAUUUUCGAGACAUUGAAUUGUUGUUAGUUUCUAGUAACAUUGCGAGAAAAUAGUUGGCUUACCGUUUUCAAAAUGUCAUAUCGUCGUUAGUUUCCAAAUCCAUUCGAUGUCGGUUAGCCAUUUGCUACAUUAACUGCUACAUUGAAACUAUUUUUUAAAAUUAUAUUUUUGCCAUGCUUUCUAUAAUUAUACUGUAGCCCAAAUCUUCAUAAUACUUUACAAAUAGGUCCAUUUUCAGAGUUUCAAAACAUACUUUUUAUUUCCAAAACUUUAUGAAAUUAUACUAUAACCCAAAAAUAUAUAAAAUAUUUCAAAUAGGUUCAUUUCUAGAAUUUUAAAACAAUACUUGUUGAUUUCAAAGUUCUCAAAACUUUUUAAAUUUAGAGCAUUAACUUCAAAAUAACCAAUUUCAUAAAAUCAUUUUUUUCAUUAAGAUUUAUGAAAAAUGACUUGAGCUUUUAAAUGCUUAAGCAUGCAUAUAUUUAAUCAUACUAGCUUUACAAGAAAUGUAACAAGAGAAAUCACCUAAGCUAGUACCUCUAAUGCUUGUUCUUGACUUAGUGAGCUUUUUACCUUCGUCUAUUUGAGUGCCUUGAACUUGAUCACACACACACACACACACACACACACACACACACACACACACAUAUAUAUAUAUAUAUAUAUAUAUAUAUAUAUAUAUAUAUAUAUCAUUUUAUCCUUUUAUCCUUAACACGUGGUUUGUUAUUAUCAAAACCCAAGUUCGUACAACCGCUUAGGCCAACAUGUUACUCCCAAUCAAUUGACUUCUGACAUGACUACUUCCAAAAUGGCUAGUACCAAAAGGGAAUCCUUCUGGGAUGAGAAUUGAAAAACAUGCCUCUUCUAGCACUAAAAUUACUCCUUCCACCUAUAUUUCCACUAUAAUGUCCUUAAAAUCCUCCGGCAUAUCCACCUCUUUUAGUAUUGCCUCCUAUUUGUGCAUGAUAGUAAUUAAUUAUGCCAUAGUUAUUAUGGUUAGCAAAGUUAGCACAAUUUGCAUUGAAUAUGUGUUUUUCAUUAUGACUUUGUUCAAGUCUUGCCUCUUGAGUAAGCAAUAGAGCAUACGCACCAUCAUAAUAUAACUUGCUAGCAGUAAUAAAAGUAGAUAAAUGCAGAUGGCUAGCUCCAAAACUAUUGAGAAUUUGUUAAACAUAUCUUUAUCAGAAAUAGGACUACCAACACAUGUCAAUUUAUCUGCUAUUUAUUUAAUCUUUAAGCAAUACUCUUCUAUGCUUAGUGACUUUUUUUCUCAAAGCAUUCAUCUCAUAUCUCAUUUGAAGAAUCCUACCCUCAUAAUGUUGCCUAAACUUUUUCUGUAAUGUUUUUCAUACAUCAAGUAAGGUGUUAUAAGAAUGAACAAGACCGAGAAUACCUUCAGUGAUAGAGCUGAGUAACUAGCUAAGUAAUGUGUGAUCUUGAGAUCUCCAAACAAUGAACUCAGGAUUUUCAAUCUGUUAAGUAGAUGCAGCAACUGCUCUAGCAUAGCUGAUGAAUCAAUGAAUUGAUUUGGUGCUUCAUUUUCUCUAGUUAUGUAUCCUUCGGUUUCCUCUUAUAAAAGCUAGAACUUGAUUUUGCCACAGCAUGUAAUUUGAUCAAUCGAAUGUGAUUGGAGUGAUGAAACAGAAUGUUGUUUGCAUUGAUUGAUUUGUAGAGAUUGCAAUUGAAUUUGUGCUUACAUUGCUUGAGCUUGCCAUUUUGGCUCAGAUACCAUGAAUAAAUUAUUGGAAGUUGAGUUAUAGUUGCUGUUUAACAGCUGAGAAAAUAGAGGAAAAUUCUCUGGAAAUUCUAAAUGUUUCCUAUUGAGCAAACGAAAGAUUAACAUACUAUAUAUAUACAAGUUUCUAAAUUGUUUCUAGCUAAUUUACAGUACAGCUAAUCAAUAGAUUUGAUCCAAAGUAAAACUAAUUAGUUUCACACAUAAGGAGCACGUGAAUCCAUCAUCGUUGCAUAAUCGAACAUGUUGACUUAGCUGCUGACUUGGCAUUGACAGCUGAUUUGCUUCUUUUUUGUAACUCUGGAUAGUGUGCUUUCUUCACAAGUUUCCCCAAAUCUCCAUUAUGUACAGCUUCUGCAAAAAUUUCCUAACCAAACCAUUUAUUUGUAAUUUCCUCUUGUGUUGGCCCUAUGCCAUCAUCAAGUGGUACCGUGAGAGGAUUUCCAUCUAGAUUACCCUGAUCUUUGUCUGAAUCAUAACUAGUAUGCAUAGUGUUUUCAUCCUCAUCACCCUGCGCAGCCAAAACAAAAUGCUUAACAUUACAUAUACAGUAAAACCUCUCUAUAGUCAUAUUGUUGGGAUUAAACUAAUUUUAUUAAUAUGAAGAUGUUAUAAACUUAAUGGAAAUUCAGUGACAAAUCUAUUGAUUAGCUGUGCUACUUUGAUAAUUAAUUAAUGAAGCAUGUCAAAUCUAAUGCAUUGACAUUGAUAAAAGAGGUAAACAUAUAAUUUAAAAAACUAGUACUUAUAUCUAUCAUCUGUGUAGUAUUGGGAACAUGCAAAGUCUUCUUAUUGAAAAUCUAAAGAAUAAAUUAUUAUCCAAAAUAAUUUCAGAAAAAUAUUAUAUUUCAUCUUAAAUCUUUCAUGUAACAUAGCAAAUUUUUUUUUUUUUUGCUCAAUAUACAUAUUAGUAAUACUGUGUGGAUGCGUGUUCCUUAAGAUAUGCUCUAUAAAAGUUGUUAACUUAUUACAAUGUGAAGUUUGUUCUUAUUUAUAAUUGGCUUAAAGCAGGAAUAAGAUUUUUUGUGACUAUUGGACGUUGUUCUUAUAAAAUGUAUCACUACAGAGAGAUUUUAUUAUAAUUCUAAACCGAGAAAAGAAAGUGUAAUCCUAAUAAAUCACCAUCGAUUAGAGCUAUAAUGAAUUAAGCUUUACAAAGAAGAAGAAGAAAGAUUACAAUGUGAAGGCAACAAGAAUCAUGACAAAGUGAGAAAAAGAGAGGCCACAUAAGCCCCAAGGGAAAUUGAGAUUUUAUAACACAGCCUAAUUGCAGAAAGCAUAGGCGAAAAACAGGUGCUUGAUUGCAAACAUGCACACGCGCGCGCGCACACACAAUUUGACCACAAAGACCGCAUACCUUUGAGAGUUGGUCCUCUGGGGCAUAGGCAUUUUUCGCACGUUUUCGUGCUUCCUCCUUUUAUGGCCACGUAGUUUUCGUAAGCUUGAUCAAGAAACUCCUCCAAUUGUUCAUCAUACCUAACACCAAAAAAAUGUCAUAAGAUCACAAAGGCAUAAGUUGAUAGAUAUAUUUGUCAAGAUAAUGCGACAGAAGAUAUAGGUAGAAAAGAAUUACUUUCUGCAUUCUUUAUCAGAGUCACUGUCACUGGACAAUUGCUCUUGAGUGUCUCUAUCGGGUCUCUCAUCUUCACAGCCCUCUGCAGUAGCAUUCUCAUCAUCAUCAUCAUAUUCAACAGCAGCAAGAUCUUUUUUACCCUAAACCGAUCAUUCAAGUUUAUAAAAGAAUGAGAUACUUGCCUUAGACCACACUUUUGAAUUGGAAAAAACUAAUAAAUCAAAAUUGCAACUAAUAUUGUCCUACCCAGCCAUUUUUCAUUUAUCCUGAUGUCAAGUACACUACAAUCGAUGAGUACCUCAGUCAGUUUGCGUAACCCUUCUCUGUUGAGUUGUAGCUUGCAGGAUAUUGGGAAAUAAAUAAUUGGCUUGUUGCCAUCUUUGGUUUGUAUCUGUAAACAUUAUGGUUGUUGGCCUUACCUUCUUUUGGUUUUCUAUGGAAUUUGUAGCACCAUAUUUUGUCCACUAUGUCAGUACACCAGUGAUUAAACAAAGUAGUCUCAUGUGCUUGAUCUAAAAAUAAUUAUAAAGUCACCAUGUGGUUGAUCUAAAGAUAAUUAUAAAGUCACAAACACAGAAAAAUUAAAAGUAAUUCAUAAACAUUUGUCAUGUGAAAUUUACUUAAUGGAAGAGAAAUUCUAGGAAACAACUUUAUGGUGAGAAAACUCUAAAAAUCAAACCGAAAGAUAUAUAAUAAAUAAUUUUAUAAGAAUUAGGCUAUGUUUCAAAUAAUAUCACAUAUAGUAAAUUUAUGAGUUGUCGCUCAUCAUAACUCAAUUGUUUCACAUAUUGUAAUUCUUUAAUUUUGAAUAACAACAUAUGUUUCAUAAGAUUUAAAAUGGUAUGACUCAUUUUAUAAUAUUUUUAACUGAAUUGAAAUUCUGCAACUAUAAAAAUUGAAAAGAAUGAACUUGGCGGUAUUACGCUUAUAGUAUUGUUUCUUAUGGUGAACCAAAAGCAAGCCAAAAUUACGCUUACAUCAUCUUACUCUACCGUAAAACUUAUUUAUAAUCAUAACGGUAACACUAAAUUAAUUUUAUUACUGUGAGAGUUUAAUAUUUAAUAGAGGUGUAGUUACAAAAAUUAUUAUUUUAACUUAAUUAUUUUUUGUGCAAGUGAUAUAGCGAUAAAAUAUGCACUAUAUUAAUAACUAAUUAAUACAGCAUGUCAAAUUCAAUGUACUAACAAUGAUGAAAAAGAUAGGCAUAGUUUGAAAAAAACUAGUACAUAUAUCUUUAUAGUGCUGGAAUUAUGUAAAAUCAUCUUGAAAGUCUAAAGAAUAAAUGAUUGUACAAAAUAAUUUUAGAAAAAUAUUUUACUUCAUCUUAAACCUUUAACAUAAUAAGGGAUAUAUUUUUUACAAUAUACCGAUAAUUAUUACUAUUAGAGGUAACUUUCUUAAAACCGGAUUUAAAAAAAUUAUAAUUUAUCAUAAUAUAGAGUUUAUUCUUAUUUAUAAUUAUUAGGCUUGAUAAUCGACUGGGUCGUGUUUGGGCCAUGCCAAGCUCUAGCCCAACUAGGGGUGGCAAAACGAAUAAACGAAUCGAAUUUGAAUCGAAUCGUAAACGAAUUGGGUCAAAAUUAUAUGGAUUCGGAUUCGAUUCGUUUAUUAAACGAAUUGAAAUUUCAGGAUUCAGAUUCGAUUCGGUUAUUAAACAAAUAUUCGGUUCAAUUCGUUUAAUUCGUUUAAUAGAAUUGAUAAACGAAUCGAAUCGAAUCCGGAUUCGUUUAUUAUUCGCUUAUCCUUUACGAAUCCAUAACGAAUCGAAUCGAAUCAGGAUUCGUUUACAAUUCAUUUAGAAAAAUAUAAUUAAUAAACAAAAUUAAGCAAAAAAAACACAAAUUUAAUAUCCCACAACAAAAUACAAAUAAUUCAAAUCAUAUUAUACAGUCAUCCAAAUACUAAAUUACAAAUCCUUAAUAUUACAAAUAACAAUAAUUCAAAUUCAAAUUAUAAAGAAAUGUAAUUUCUUUAAUUCUCUUCAUUUGUCUUUGUCGCCUUGAAAACAAAAAUCCUACACCAAAAAGUAAAUAAAAUGUUAUUAACAUGCUGCAAUAUUGAUAAUAGUCAUUGUAAAAUUUCAAAAAUCAAAUAUAUAGCAAAUUUGUAGCAUUUUCAAGAAAAUAAUAAUUAAACAAGAUAAAAACUUUACCUACCACACUCACACACUGUCAUUUGGAUCAUUGGCACUCUCUGCAGAUGGAGCACAAUUAGUGCUCAUGUUCAUAAUGUUUUGAGUAAGUUGGUCCACAGUGACAUCCAAAUUUUCUACAAUAAUUUUAUAAAAAUAAAUCUUAAUUAGAAACAAUUGCACAUAAUAUUAUAAAAGAAAAGUAAAUAAAUUUUAUGAGCAAGUUUUACCAAUCUCUCCAAACUUCCAAUCUCUAGUAGUAAUAAUUGCUUGAACUAUCUCUAGUAGUAAUAAUUACUUGAACUGUCUCUGGCUUCAAUACACUUCAAAAUUGAUCAAGAACUCAACCGCCAAACAACAACAAAACAACAGUAAAACAGCAACAAAAUAGCAGCAAAAUAGUAGUAAAACAACAACAAAAUAUCAGUAAAAUAGCAGUAAAACAACAACAAAAUAGUGGAAAAAUAACAAAAAAAAUGGUAGCGAAACAGCAGCCAAACAACAGCAGUAAAACAGCAGCGAAACAGCAGUAAAACGACAGUAAAAUAGCAGUAAAUCAGCAACAAAACAACAGCAAAACAGUAAUAAAACAGCAACAAAACAGCAACAAAACAACAGCAAAACGGUAAUAAAACAGCAAUAAAAGGCAAAUUUUCAGUGGUGUACCGUGAUGGUGGGUAGUUAGCGCGGCGGGAAGUGGUGCUGGGGAUGAAAACCUUCAAAUUUUAAAAAGCUUUCAAAUAAAUUUAAGGAUAAAAAAGUAAUUUAAUUAAACGAAUAAUAAACUAAUCGACCCGUAUUCGAUUGGUUUAUGACCGAUUUAUUAAACGAAUAAACGAAUCAAAAUUUUCAAACCUGCAUUCGAUUCGUUUAAUUAACGAAUCGAAUCGAAUUCACCCAUUUAUUAAACGAAUCAAUUUUUUCAAACUCAAACCCAUUUAAUUUGCAUCGAAUCGAAUCAAAUAAACGAAUCCUGACCCAUAUUGCCACCCCUGCCCAACCCUAUGAUUAAAAUGAAGGACUCUAAUACUAAAAAGCUUGACCCUUCAAACUAAAGAACAACCUGGCUUUAAUAAUUUUUUUAUAUUUUAUUUUUUUUUUUAAGAAUAUGACUCCUAUUCUUCAUUCUUUAGUAAUAUUAUUAUUAUUAUUAUUGUUCCUUUUUUUUGUUGGAUUUGUUUGUAAGGAAUUUAAUAAAUUAUUUUUUAUUUAACUUAACAACAAUAGAACGUUUAACAAUCUAACAAAAUUAAUAUAUUAACCAAGCAAUAGGUAAAUAAAUCAAAUACAAAAUAACAAAAUUAAUAUGAAAUAGAGAUAAAUAUCCCUAAAGUGUAGUUGUGACCAUCUAUGUGUAUGUGUGUUUAAUAAUAUUUUUAUUUUAAAAAUUAAUUUAAAGAUCAAGAGUUGAGUUAAAACAUUUUGGUAAAACUUUAACCCUAACCCAAAUGUAAUUAGGUCCUGAUUCCUUAAGCCCUAACCCAACGUUUAACCUUUCAAAUUCGAGUCAAAACCAUUAAAAUUAAGAUCGAAUCAAUCAAGUCGAGGGUCGGAUAAAACCUUUUUGUCAUCCUAAAAAUUACCCUAAAUUAAAAUCAAAAUUUUUUAAAAUUAUAUAAAAAUUAUUCUUAUACACAGUAACAAUAUACGACCCAACAAGAAAUGAACCUGGACGCAUUAGGGCUUUGAUCCACAAACAAACUUUCAAAACCCUCUUAGACCUCAAGAGCAUUUUAGUCCAUUUAAUCAAAAGUAAAAGUGCGGCUACCAGCUAACUCUCCGGAAUUGAACUGAACGAGUUUCAGAAAUGGCAUCGAAAAGCAAGAUUCUAUCCAUCGGCGGGACAGGGUAUAUCGGUAAAUUCAUCGUGGAAGCUAGCGUGAAAGCCGGCCACCCGACGUUCGUGCUCGUGAGGGAAUCCACAGUCUCUGGUCCUUCCAAAUCUCAGCUCCUCGACCACUUCAAAAACCUCGGCGUCAAUUUCCUUGUCGUGAGUUAUCAAUUUUUUUUUUCAUUUUUUUAAUUCCAAAUUUUGACACGUGGCGGUGUAGCCUCUACUUGAUAGACUUGGUUUUUUUUUUUAAUUUAAUUUUUGUGGGUGCUGUUAUUAUUAUGCAGGGAGAUGUUUUGAAUCACGAGAGUUUGGUGAAGGCGAUAAAACAAGUGGACGUGGUGAUAUCAACAGUUGGUCACACUUUAAUAGCCGAUCAGGUCAAGAUUAUUGCUGCCAUUAAAGAAGCCGGUAACGUUAAGGUAUGACAUAAUUAAUGUAAAUGUCUUAGAUUCCGAUCAGGAUUGUGCACUCGUGCACACGUGGUGAUUUAUUCUUCGUGUGGAGCUCGCUGUAGAGUAGAGCUCCCAGUUCCGCUAAUAAACACCCGUCACAUGCGCAAUUGCGCCUCAAAAUAAUUUAAUUAAUUAAUUAGGUAUAAACACCGAUGGCAUGAAAGCAAUUAAAAUUAGUUGAUGUUUAUAAAUUAUUUAUUACUCAGAGAUUCUUCCCAUCGGAAUUUGGAAAUGAUGUUGAUCGAGUCCAUGGCGCCGUGGAGCCAACAAAAUCGACGUAUGACGUAAAGGCGAACAUCCGCCGAGCCGUUGAGGCAGAAGGCAUUCCGUACACGUACGUAGAAUCUUAUUUUUUUGAUGGCUACUUCCUCCCUAAUUUGUUGCAGCCUGGGGCCACUGCCCCCCCUAGGGAUAAGGUUGUCAUCUUCGGCGAUGGAAAUCCAAAAGGUAACAUAAUUUAAUUAAGCUCUGUUUGUUUGGUAUGUAUUUCGGUGUUAAUGUUAUUGUCUGUUGUACAAUGGAUGGUCUUGCUUGGUACUGUUGUUGGAGAGCUGCAGUGUUUUGAUAAACACCUCUAUCCUUAGCUUUCAAGUUAAGUUGAUUUUAUACAACACUUGUUUAAUUAAAAACUUGUAAUAUUCUUACUACUUUGAUAAAAAAAAUAUUACGAUUAAAGUAUUAAUGGCACCAUAAUACGAAGUGAAUCUUAAGUGGUCAUUAUAGAUUUUAAGAUAGAGUUUUAAGUGAUUACCAGAUACUUUAGCUGCUGAACCGCCACAUCAUGGUUGCCACACAACAAUUUCAAACAGAGCCUAAAUAACUUCAUUGCAAAACAGUUAAAUGAAUCUAACUUAGUUUCGUCGUUUGAUUUUCAGCUGUUUUUAACAAGGAAGAUGAUAUUGGAACCUACACUAUCAAAGCGGUUGAUGAUCCGAGAACCUUGAACAAAAACUUUUACAUUCAGCCUCCCGGUAAUAUUUACUCAUUCAAUGAUCUUGUGUCUCUGUGGGAGAGAAAGAUUGGUAAAACCCUCGAAAAGGAGUAUGUUUCAGAGGAGCAGCUCCUAAAGAAUAUUCAAGGUUGGUUAAAACUCUCUUUUUUAAAUGUAUUAAAGAGAGCCGUAUAUUCUCUGCCGUAAAUGUUAUUGAUCCUGUCUUCUCCAAAAUGUUGCAGAAGCUGCAUCUCCACACAAUUUUAUAUUAUCAAUUUAUCACUCUGCUUUCGUGAAGGGAGUUCAAACUAACUUCAAGAUUGAACCAUCUUUUGGAGUUGAAGCCUCGCAGCUUUAUCCUGAUGUCAAGUACACUACAGUUGAUGAGUACCUCAAUCAGUUUGUGUAACCCUUCUCUGUUUCCAGCUGCAGCUUGCAGGAUCUUGGACUGUUGGUAAAUAAAUAAUUGGCUUGUUGCCAUCUUUGGUUUUAUAUGUAAAAAUUAUGGUUGUUGGCCUUACUUUCUUCUGGUUGUCCAUGGAAUUUGUUAGACCAUAUUAUGUUUGCUAUGUCAGUGAUCAAAUGAAGUAGGCCAUGUACUUGAUUUGAGAGUAGUAGUUAUAAAGCCAUCAUGAUCAGGUGGGUGCGUAGGUUGGGCUUCUAUUAGGGUGCGUGUGUUGGGCUUCAGGGGCUUGUGAUAUGGGUUCGACAGCCCCUAACGGGCAGUCAUUAUAAAAAUAAUUAUAGAGUUACAAAUCUAUGUAAAAAGCAAAAAUUAAAAGUAAUUUAUCAAUAAAAAUAAUUAAAAUUAAUAAAAAGUAGGUAUGAUAAUUCAGAAAUUAAAUUAAAGAUAGAAUUCUAAAGAGUUGGAUAAUCCUCCAACUAAACUAAAGAUCUAGUACUUUUGAGAGCAAAUUUAAUUAAAGAAAAGGAUAAGGAAAAACAAUAGAAUAAUAAUAUUAAAAAAUUGCAAAUCUUGGUCUUUUUUUUUUACGAUGAUGUUGAAUUCUUAUAAAUUUAAUCUUAUCUAUAGAAUUAUUUAGUUACUGUAUGUCAAAAUUUCCUAUAAAGAUGAAGAAAAAUUAUAUUAGGAGAAGAUCCAAAUCCGUUUAACUGAUGCAUCAUCGACAACAUGAGUACAACAUUUUCGAAUAAACAAAAGAAACUCGUUUUAUGUGUGAACCAGUUCCAAAAUAAAGAGCAGACUAUUGGAAGGAGACAAAUACUACAAGAAGAACAAAACAUUCUACAAUUCCUACAUGAGCCCGCAACAAUUAAUUAUUAACUCGACAUUCAUUACACUUUUUCUUUAAUUUGACAAAGAAACCAAAAAUAAGAUAAAAUUGACUAAGAAAUAAAAAAAUGACAAAAAUCUUUUUGAAGUUUUGCCAGUUCAGCCAUGCACGCUUAUCUUUAUUCACUUGUUUCCUUUCUUUCCUUUCUUUCCUUUCUUUCCUUUCUUUGCUGAAGCCUUCACAGAUCCUUUACCUUUCUGAGCCUUGCCAAUUUUCCCCUUCUUCAAACCACCUGGCCUUGCUGGAUCCACGUGUCCUUGCAUCCUUUUUCAUUCGUGGAUCAACAAGAAUCUCCCCCUUUCCAGCUCUCUCUUGAACUCCUUGCUUUGCGACCAUGUAUUCUUUGGUAGGCCUUUUGGGUAUAGUUGUCUUGUAUAAUUGUUCAAUUUGAUUCCUCUUCGAACGAUCAGAGAUGUCCGCUUAGUCUGAUAUGACAUUUGCCUUCUUGCGAACCUUCUCAAGAUUUCGCAUGGCAACCCGUAUCUUUCGAGCUUUGGUCUUAGCCACCUUCUUGGCAGUAUGGGUGGGCGAUUCGAUUUUGGGAUAAACUUUUGGUUUCGUAUCGGUUUAGAUUAAAAAAUAAUAUAAAAAAAUAUUUAGAUUUUAAGGGAAAAAAUCCGAACCGAGACUCACCUAUCGAUUUUGGCUCGGUUUCAGUUCAGUUUUGAUUCUCCUAAUAGUUUUAUUUUGCCUUAUUGACUUCCGGUCAAUGACACUUUUGAAAAAUUUACAAAAAAAAAAAAAAUGGCCAUAACAAAAUUUCUAAAUGCAAAUAUUUCCUAAACAUUAGGCUAUACUAAAUUUUUUUAAAAGGUAGGGAUCCAAACGAUAUUAUCCCUCUACUUCAUCUUCAACCUUCGUCACUAGGGAUGGCAAAAUUCAGGUUCGGGUUCGGGUCCGGGUUUAGCCAUUCGGGAUCCGGACCCGGAUGAAUAUUUUCUGUAUCGGACCCGAAAAUAAACCCGCAUUUUUCCACUCCGAGUCUGGUACGGGUUCAACCCGAAAAAAUUCGGGUUCCCAGACUGCGGGUUUCCAACCCGAAUUGAUGAAUCCAAUUGAAAAAAAAAAACUAAAUUCAACUAAAAAAAUCAAAUAGAAAUACAUAUCCAGGAUUUUAGCAAAUCAAAGAAAAAUUAUUUCAUCUGGAAACUAAUUAACAAAAACAACAAUUUUGUUUGGCUGCCCAGAAUCAGCAACCCAAUGUGGCGGCUCGUUCAAAACAUUAGUGUUUUCAACAGAUUUUGGGGUAGGAAAAGCCAAACCUAUCUAGAACAAUGAAUUUGUAUUUUUGGGGGAGAUGAGAUACCUCACUGGUUUGUUGUGUGCGGUGCAGUGUAUCUGAAAUUUGGGGGAUGUGAGAAGGGGAGAGGGAGUGGUAACAAUGGUGAAAGGUCAAAACCAAUAGAGAUGUCCUUCAAAAUGAGCUUCACACCUGUAAAACAGUGAAAUAAAGGUUAGAGGUGAAGCCGGGAUACCCCGGUGUUCACACUCCGAUGCUCAAGUUAGCAAACUCAAGCUUUUAUGACAAAGAGAACUGGCUAGCCCUCUGUAAAUUAGGGUUUAAGGUUCAAGGAAACCUAUUUUUUGGAAUGUGAGUGUUAAUGGUGAGUGAGAGACCUCUUCGAGAAUGAAACAUAGGCGCCUUUAUAUAUGGAGUACCUCAGCUGCCACAUGACGUACCCUUUUUUGGCUAACGUCAUUUUUCCUUUUUAUGAUUUUUGGGUCGUUAUGUGCAUGUUCGCGGGGUAUCUCAUCUUUUGGAAACGUGGCGCGCGCUGGAGAGUGGUCCAGGGUACCUCUGCAGUAGCUGUCGGGUAGGCAGCUGAAGACCACUGUCCUUGGGACAAUGUCCUUCACUUUUGGUAAAGGUGACAGGCGGUUGUCCCCCUUUUUAACACGACAUUUUUUAUUCCUAAUUAUGACAAAAUCGAAUAAUAUCUUUUAAGAGAUGGAGACGUUUCUCAUGGUGGAUAUUUUCAGAGGAUUCUCUUGCAUCUGAUCAGCCGGGUUCCUCCAGUUAUGCAGGGUACCUCUAAUUUUACGGGGUACCUCUAUUUGCGCAGGGUACCUUGAAUCAUGCUAGGUACCUUAGAUUAUGCGGGGUACCUCAUAUUGUGUGGGGUACCUCUAAUUGUGCGGGAUACCUCUAUUUGCGCUAGGUACCUUGAAUCAUGCUGGGUACCUCAGAUUGUGCGGGGUACCUCUAUUUGUGCAGGGUACCUUGAAUCAUGCUGGGCACCUCAGAUUGUGCGGGGUACCUUUAGUCAUGCGAGGUACUUUUAAUCAGGCCAGGUACCCUCUAAUUGUGCUGAGUACCUCUAAUCAUGCAGGGUACCUCUAAUCAUGCGGGGUACCUCUAAUCAGGCCGGGUACCUCAGAUUGUGCGGGGUACCUCUAUUUGCGCAGGGUACCUUGAAUCAUGCCGGGUAUCUCAGAUUGUGCGGGGUACCUCAAAUUGUGUGGGGUACCUCUAAUCGUGCGGGGUACCUCUAAUCAUGUCGGGUACCUCGGAUUGCACUGAAAUUAUUCCAUUCGUUGACACGUGGCGUUAUGCUAUCUUUCUUAUUUUUCCCCCAAACAACAUCCCUCUAGUUUCUUUUGGCAAGAAGUUUUGGAGGCAAAAGAAACUUACAUAAAAAGUAGGAGCGACACGUGGCGAUAUGAUGUUUAGCUCGAUGGAUAACUAAAUAGAGGGCGCCUCUAGGGGUACCCUGAGAACCCAAAAAGGGAAGAUGGGCUCCAUUUCCUCGGAAAUGGCUACCACUUUGGACAUGUUGGAAAUGAUAGAGCUAAUUGAUCAAAAAAAUUUCAUCUAUUUCUGGGGAAGAACACCAAAUACGGGUAGAGGGUAUCGUUAGGGUACCCCACCAUUAUCCAUAGUUUGUUUUCUAGUGACUGCCAUGUAUAAAUCGCUCUGGUGAAGGCUUCAAUACAUUCUUUGGGCAUUUAAGAAGCAAUUAUUUGAUUAUCUCGGGAUCCACCUUAUUUAAGGGUAUAUUUCCUUCAUGUGCUUCGAAGAAAAAAAUAAAAUCACAGGGCCUUCUUCCUUGUAACUUCAGAGGUACCAUCGACAGAAGAACAUAGUCGACAAUGCUUUUAAGCGUAUCAUGAUCGAGGAAUGGAGUGCUGAUCUGGGGUUGGUGGUGCCAAGAGUGGAGAAGAUGGUAGAUGAACCGGCUAUCUUGAAGGCGAUUAAUGAUAGCGGGGCUCCCAACACAUCUUGGUCUGAAAGCCCAUUGAGAUCAGCUGAGGUACCUCAGAUGAGGUAUCUAUAAGGUACCCCUGAUACUAACCCUUGUGUUUUUGCUACUUUUAGCACUUUAUUGAUCCCUUCAUCCUAAGGGAUGAAGUUGAAGAUAAAUAUCCUGUUGUAUAACCUUGUUCGACAUUACUGACAAGAUGUAUGGGGUACCUUGUUAGCCUAUAUGGCUAUAAAUAUUGAUUUUGAUGAUAACAAACCACAUGUAUUUAUUGAGUAAAGAUUUAUGAAUUGUGCUUUUAUAAUGAGAAAAUGAUGUUAUGGAAUUAAAUCUUUUUGAACUAAAAUGAAAGUAAUUUUAAAAUCUUUGAUAGUAUUUUAAAUUUCGGAUUUGUACAUAUUUGAAACUAUUUAAAUGUUUUUAGGUCAUUUUGUAAUUUCACAAAGUUUGGGCGAAGUCAUAAUUUCAUAAAGUUGUGGGAUUGAGAAAGCAUUAUCUAAAAUUAUGAAAUUGGACAUAUUUGCAAACGUUUAUAACGUUUUGGGCCAUACCACAGUUUUAUAAAGUUUUAGGGUCAAAUUGAAAAUAUUAGAAAAUUUUCACUGUAGCAGGUUACUGUAGCAAGCAGCUUACCGGAUUCAGAAAAUCAGAAAUCCGGAUUCGAGGCAGUAAGCAUCCAGAACCAAAACGGCUUACCGGAUUCCUGAAUCCGGCAAACCGGUUAGGCAAAAUUUUGAAUUUUGCCUUAACGGUAACAUAAAUCCGGCUUACCGAAUUCUAUAAAAUGGCAAACUGGAUAGCCUAGAAUGUGAGUAACGGCUAGUUUUCGAGCUCAAGCUAUAAGAACUCAAAUCCAACUCAUUUUGAAGCUCUCCAACAAGCAAGAACAAAAAGCACACGUGAUAUCUUGAGCCUUCAACUUGUAAAACACAAUUCAUUGAAUCAUUCAUUGUUCUUCAUCUUUGAAUAUCUACUCAUUGAGUGAGUUUCAUUGUAUCUUUCAUUUCUUCAAUUCAUUUGUAAGAGUUUGAGUGUGUGAGACACUUGAGUGAAGAGAUUGGGAGAUAAUCUCUUUGUUGUAAAGGUUUAUUGACACCUCGAAGUCAAUUGUAAUCGUUGAAGCCUUGGAAAGGCUUGGAUAGUGAAAUCCUCGAGCUUGGAUCGCUUGGAGGCGUGGACGUAGGCGGGGAUUACCGAACCACGUAAAAAUUCGUGUGUUUGUUUCUCUUCUCCCUUACUCUUUAAUUAUUGUACCAUUAUUGAACUUAUUACUUUCAAUUAUUGUUAAGACAUUAGAUUGCUUGUUGUGUGGAUUUGUUAGGAUAAUUUUUAAAAAUCCAAUUCACCCCCCUCUUGGGUUGCACACUUGUAUUUCAUACCUCAUGUACCCUAAUGCUUGGAUAUCCCUUGAGCUAUCUGUUACUUCAUGGCGGAAUAACCCAAUUGCAUCAAACAUAUGGCGAUUCUUCCAGAUAUGCUUGUCGCUUAUCUUAAGCUUUCUUAGGGUUCCUCCUGGUGUAUCUGAGGAAUAGCUUUCUGGCGUGGGGUACCCUUAAUCAGCGUAUGGUGAUUUUCAUAGAAAUGCUUGCCGCAAAUCUUCACAAAACUUGUUGCGGUUGCUUUUGAGAGAUUGUGCGGGGUACCUUGAAUCAUGCCGGGUAUCUCAGAUUGUGCGGGGUACCUCAAAUUGUAUGGGGUACCUCUAAUCGUGCGGGGUACCUCUAAUCAUGUCGGGUACCUCGGAUUGCAGUGAAGUUAUUCCAUUCGUUGACACGUGGCGUUCUGCUAUCUUUCCUAUUUUCCCCCAAACAAUUAGUAAAGAGAGCUAAAGAACUAGCUUUAGUUACGAGCAGAAAAUCAGAAGUCAAGGAGCAGCCAAAGCACUUUUAAUGGUGAUGGUAAAACUAGAGAGGUAAUGCAAAUAAGUUUACGUUGAUUGGAUAUUCAGAAGAAGUAAUACGCCAUUAAAAGCAACAAGUUUUCCAAAAAGCCAACAAAGACAGAGACCACCACACCACCCCGCACUGGAUGAAAAACGAUGAAAGCAUGAUAAGUGGCAUCGAGUAAGCCACGUUCUCUCUCUCUCUCUCUCUCACUCGCACUCGCACUCGCACUCGCACACACUGUUACUAAAAUGACCAAAAAUAAGAUUCCCAUCAAAAUAUUUUCGAGUAUCGUUCUUGAAAGUGGCGGCGGCUGAUGAUGAUGAACACAGCCGCGAUUGCGAUUGGCGAAGGCGGCGUUCUGCCCGUAUCACAGCUAGUUAUCGGUCGCGGCAGAAAAGAUAAUGAAACGACGGCUGAUGAUGAUGAUGAUGAUGUUGAACAGCCGCGAAUAUGGGUAAGUGAUGCGACGAUGAUUUGAUUUGAUGAAGAUGAGCUGAACAUGGAAUAAGAGAGGAAAUGUUUGUGCGGCUGGGAAAGUGUAAUGAACUGCUAGGGCACCAUUUGGGUUUUUUUGCUUUCCUAUUUAUAUUAAAAAUAAUUUUUAAAAAUUAAUAUAUAUCCGGGUUCGGGUUUUGGAUGUACGGGUUUACCUAGACCCGGACACAUGCGGAUUCAGCAGCACCGACCACCCACAGACUUGGAUUUGAUUACAAAGUUGGGACUUAGGAUUUGGGUUUGUGGCUGCCGAAACAGAAAGUGAGAGAGUAGAAAGUAGAGACUGAGAGUGGUGCAAACAUGUGUAAUUUUGUGUGUGUGUCUAUAUAUAUAUAAUGUGAAAUUACAAAAAUGCCAUUAUAUCAGUUCAAUUCGAAUUUUGUAACUUGUGAUCCGAAAACUGAACCAAACCGAACCAUUUGGUUUGGUAUUUAUAUAUUCAGGUUUUUAAUUUAAAAAAACUAAAUUGAAAUUGAAAGAACUAAACCGAACCGAAUUUUUUUUUUUUUUGUUUCGAUUCAAUUAUGCCCAUCCCUACUUAGUAGGCUGGGUAUCAAUUUCUUUGAAUUGUGCUUUCAUUGCAGUAAUCUCCUCCUUGGUAAUAGGUUUAAUUGCUUGCUGAUGCCACCUUUCCUCUAGUAACAACUAGUCUAACAAGCCAUCAUCGUCAAACAUGUACCUAUUAUAAGCAUCAUCCAGAAUUUGCUCUCUUUGCUUUUUGCUUAGUGUCUUCUUUGCACAAGCUAUUAUCUUAGCUUUUGUAUCAAUAUCUUUAUCUUUUGAUUCACCAGAGGAUGAAUCAUCACCGGAAUAGAGUGGUGAAGGCCCCAUAGAUUAGUGUGAUCAAGUUCUAGUGUAGUUUUGGUUUUGAUUUCAGUAUUAGGAAAAUGAAGCCUAUGAAAUUUACCAAGCUAACAUGCUUCACAAAAGUGCUUUAAUACUUGACUAUGAAUACUUGAAGAGGAUAAAUGAGGAUAAAUAAAUUUAAAUAUACAUUAGAUUUUGAGGGUUGGGAUGUCAAAACUUUUGGUGAAAAAGAGUUAGUACAAGCAUUUUUAUUGAGAUUGAAAACAUUUCUUAAGAUGAUCAAUACUAGUUACAAAAUUGGAAUGAAAAAAAAAAGGCAACAUAGACAAAGGUUUGUUUAUUUGAUUGUAAGAUAGAAAAGACUUGUAUUUAGGUUGUGGAAAGGAUUUGAGCAGCAAUUUAUACAACCUUUUCUCAGCAAAACCUUCCUCUUCAAUGAAUCCUUCACAAAACAAAUAGAUCCAAGAAAUUCGACAAAUAAAUUGUUGUCAAUGGUAAGUUUUGAAAUGCUCAAUAGAUUCUUUGUAAUGGAUGGAACAAACAGUACAUCCUUAAGUAAAAUAUGUCUUAUAUUAUCUUUUUUUAAUUCUUUUUAAAAAAAUAAGUGAAUAAUAGUAUGUCAAUCUCAAAUAUCAAUAUGUACAAUUUUUAUUUGUGUAAGAAUUUGCAUCCAAUAAUCAUCAAUACAUAAUUGUCUUUUAAUUGAAUGGUUCUCACCUCCCUUCCAAACUUUGAAAAGGUAAAAUAAGAUCAAUCAUGUCAGUGGCAAUUAAUAUAAAGAUUACUUUUCUUAUUUGUAGUAACGUCCUCUGAUUAUUUAGCUGAUUUUCAAGCUACACAUUUAUUCCAUUUGAUGUUGAUAUUAGUAAAAUUAAUGUAAUAUUUAAAAAGGAAAAAAAUCCGUCGAGCUAAAAGCCGAGUAUAAAAUUGAACCAGACCCAAACCAGAAACGCACGCCAACAACAUGUUUGCGUCAGUCGGCCCAUGCCCAUAAACCCACCAAGCCCGAUCCAAAUAGAAAAAUGAAUUGGACACCCGAGAUAGCAGAAACAGAUAAGUAACGGUCGUGCUAUCCCCAAUCUCAUAUCUUCAACGGUAUCCAGCCAACAUCUCAAAGUGUUCAAUUUUUUUUUAAGCCAAAAAAAAAUUCAAAAUUUUCAAGCGGAAUCUGGGAAGAUAGCGAUGAAAAGCAAGAUUCUGGUUAUCGGCGGAACCGGAUACAUCGGUAAGUACUUAAGGUGCGUUUGAAAUUGAGGUUGAGCAACUAUAACUUUAAAACUGCAGCACUAAAAUAUUUGGUAAACACUAAUUGUUGUAACUUAAAAGCUAUUUAAUAUAAUUUUUCACUUGUAUAAUAAAAAAUUUAUUAUCUUUAAUAAUUUUGUCAAAAUUAUUAUUUAAAAUAUAUACAGUAAGAGAGAUUGUAACAUUUUCAAUCUUUGGUUUGAUAUUCUGGAAGAAAACGAUUUGCCGUUUAUGGAGAAAACUGCUAACCGUUUAAUUUCAGAGAGCAUGUUUUCUAUUCUAGAGAAAACGGCUAACCGUUUGGAGAAAACGGCUAACCGUUUGGAGAAAAUGGCUAACCGUUUGGAGAAAACGGCUAACCGUUUAAUUCCAGAGAGCAUGUUUUCUGUUCUAGAGAAAAUGACUAACCGUUUGGAUAAAACGGCCAACCAUUAAUUACAGAGAGCAACUUAUUUGACAUUCUGGAAUAAAACGGCUCACCGUUAUUGAGAAAACGGCUAACCGUUUAUUUCCAGAGAGCGUGUUUUUGCGUCAACUGGAAAAACGGUUAGCAAGCUUAGAAAUUUCAAUUGUCAAUCGAUGCAAACUCAAACCAAAAGAGUGUUUUUUUGAAGAAGUACUAUUUUUAAUGGUUGUAUUCUUUCAAAUAAACAUCUUCUUUAUUAAAGAUAGACAAACUAUUAUAUCAUAAUUAGAUUUUGCAGGUUUCAUAUAUGUUCUGGAAAUACAAUCUUAUUUUUUAGAGAUUGUAUUCAGGAUUUGAUAUAUCUUAGGGGUAAUUUGCCAUUAAAACUCUAUAGCAAACCAAGAUUGGUGAGGGUAAAUAAAACCUUAAAGAAAAAUGUGCAAACACGUCUCAAAUCCUAAGAAAUUUUCUUUGUUCUUUGCCUCCAUAUUCUUAAAAUUUGAAAAUUCACCCAUCAAUCUUUAAGGUUUUAUUUUGAUGCAAAUAGAGGCUGAGAAGAGUUUGACGUCAUUUCUUAAUCCUAGUGUCCAUCUCGAUCGUUUUGAUGGAACAAAUUUCACUCGUUGGAAGGAAAAAUUGUUCUUUCUUCUUACUGUUCUUAAAGUGGCAUAUGUUCUUAAUCCGAAAUUGGAACCAUUUCCAGAACCAAGGGAAGAUGAUACCGAAGUUGUUAAGGCUGUAAGGAAACGUCGUGAAGAUGAUGAAUUGAUGUGCCGGGGUCACAUACUCAAUACGCGUUCUGACAGGUUAUAUGAUCUCUACAAUUUUAUGACUUCUUCGAUGGAAAUUUGGAAUGCUCUUGAGUACAAAUACAAAACGGAGAAAGAAGGUACUGACAAAUUCCUUGUCUCUAAAUAUUUUGAAUUUAUUAUGGUAGACACACAAUCCAUUCUUGAUCAAAUACAUGAGUUAUAAAUUAUUGUUGCUAAGCUUCGAGAGUUAAAAGUUAAAAUUUCUGAAUCAUUUCAAGUUGGGACUAUUAUUGCUAAAUUGCCUCAAAGUUGGAAUGAUUAUAGAAAGAAACUCCUUCAUAGUAAAGAGAACAUAACUUUAGAAGAAUUGCAAAAACACUUGGUAAUUGAAGAAGAGACUAGGUCUCGCGAAUCCAAGGAUAAACAUGAUUCUACUAAAGUUAAUGUUCUUGAAGCUAGUAAAUUCUCAAAGAAUUUUAAAGUCAAGAAUGACAAGAAAUUUAAGAGGUCCAGCACACAAAAGUUUUCUGGAAAUUGUUUCUUUUGUGGUAAGAAAGGUCAUCGCCAAAGUGAUUGCAGAUUCAAGAAAAAAAAAGAAGAAGUGAAUUCCUAUAAAGCUAAUGUUAUUGAAAACAAAUCUGAAAAGAUUUGUGCUAUGGUUUCUGAAAUACAAAUUGGCAUGAUUAUCGAAACCAAUAUGGCUGAAACUAAGUCCUAUGAUUGGUGGCUCGAUUCGGGUACAACAAUUCAUGUUUGUAAUGAUAAGAAAUUUUUAUUAUCAUACAAAGAAGAAACGGAAGGACAAAUGGUUCUCAUGGGGAACAAUAAUGCAGCCAUAGUAGCAGGGAAAUGAGUAGUUGAGAUCAACUUCACUUCUAGAAAGAAAGUCACAUUGUAUAAUGUCUUUCAUGUACCUUCCGUUAGGAAGAAUCUUAUUUCUGCUAGUUGUAUGUGUAAGCAUGGGCUUAAGAUUGUGCUUGAGGGUAAUACUUGUAUUAUCUCAAAGAAUGAAUUAUUUGUUGGGAAAGGGUAUUCUUGUGAUGGAAUGUACAAACUCAACAUUAAUAAUAAUAAUAUCAACUUAGCUUAUAUUGUUGAGUCUUGUGAUGUUUGGCAUGCUAAAUUAGCACAUUUGAAUUUUAGAUCUUUGAAAUACAUGUCUGAGCAUGGUUUGAUUAAUUGCAAUGAUGUUAAAGGUCAUAAGUGUGAAAUCUGCAUCCAAGCUAAAUUAACUAAGAAACAUUUUCUUAAAGCCGAACGAAAUACUCAAAUAUUGGAUUUAAUAUAUACCGAUAUUUGUGAGUAUAAUGGCGUUUUAACAAGAGGAGGUAAGAAGUACUUUAUCCCUUUUAUUGAUGAUUGUUCUAGAUACACUUAUAUGUAUUUACUUAGAACAAAAAAUGAAGCUUUUGAUAAAUUUAAAAUUUUCAAAGCUGAAGUUGAGAACCAAAAAGAUAAGAAAAUCAAAAUGGUUCGUAGUGAUAGAGGUGGUGAAUAUUUCUCAAUUGAAUUUAAUAAUUAUUGUGAAGAAUUUGGAAUUAUUCACCAAAGAUCAGCUCCAUUUACUCCUCAACAAAGUGGUUUGGCUGAAAGAAAGAAUAGGAUCUUCACGGAUAUGAUAAAUUCCAUGAUCCAUAAUGCAAAACUACCAAAUAAUUUGUGGGGGGAAGCAUUACUCACUGCAUGUCAUAUUCAUAACAGAAUUACAUCUUUGAAAACACAUAUAUCUCUUUAUGAAAUUUGGAAAGGAAGAAAACCAAACUUGAUGUAUUUAAGGGUCUAGGGUUGUUUAGCUUUUUAUAAAAUACAUGAUCCUAAAUCAUCAAAGUUAAGUGCUAGAUGUAUAAAGAGUGUUUUCGUAGGAUAUGCUGAAAAUUCUAAGGCUUAUAGGUUGUUAGAUUUAGAUUAUAAUGUGAUUGUGGAAUCUAGAGAUGUUGAAUUUAUUGAGAAUAAAUUUCAACAUGAUUCUAAUAUUGAAUUAGAAUCAAUUAUUGAUCAACCAUGUGUUAAUACUCCUGUUACCUCCACUAACAAUAAUAAAAGGAAAGAGUCUAUGACAUCUUUCGAACCAAUGAGGAGUCAACGUGAAAAGAAAGAAAAGAGUUUAGCUCCGGAUUUUAUUUCAUCACAAGCACUACUCUUCUUGGUUGAAGGGGAUAGAAAGAAUGUACUUAACAAAGUACCAUUAUUGUUAAAUAUUGAAAAAGAUCCAAAGACAUUUAGCGAAGCUAUGUCUUCUAGAGACGCUUCUUUUUAGAGAGAGGCGGUAAAUGAUGAAAUUGAUUCGAUUAUUUCGAAUCAAACAUGGGUCUUGGUUGAUCUUCCUCCAGGAUCUAAACCAAUUAGCAGCAAAUGGGUAUUUAGAAGAAAGUACAAUAGUGAUGGUUCUUUGCACACUUUUAAGGCUAGAUUAGUAGCCAAAGGGUUUAAGCAAAGAAAUGGUAUUGAUUAUUUCGAUACAUAUGCUUCGGUAGCAAGGUUAACUUCUAUAAGAGUGCUAUUUGCAAUUGCUUCAUUGAACAAUUUGUAUGUGCAUCUAAUGGAUGUUAAAACCGCUUUUCUUAAUGGUGAUCUUGAUGAAGAAAUCUAUAUGGAACAACCUGAGGGAUUUGUUUUACCAGGAAAUGAGAAAAAAGGUAUGCAAAUUAGUCAAAUCACUUUAUGGUUUAAAGCAAGCACCAAAACAAUGGCAUGAGAAGUUUGAUUCGGUAAUUUUAUCUCAUGGUUUUAAGCAUAAUAAUGCUGAUAAAUGUAUAUAUUUUAAAUUUACGAAUGAUUUUGGUGUGAUUAUAUGCUUGUAUGUUGAUGACUUGCUUAUCUUUGGGACAAAUAUGCAAGGAGUAGAUGAUACAAAGAAGUAUUUAACUUCACAAUUUAAGAUAAAAGAUCUUGGUGAAGUAGAUACUAUCUUAGGUGUCAAAGUGAAGAAACAUAGUGAGGGUUACUCGUUGUGUCAAUCUCAUUAUAUAGAGAAAGUGCUUCUUAAAUUCAAUUAUUUGAAAUUUAAAGAAGCUAAUACCCCAUAUGAUUCUAGUAUUAAAUUAUUAGAGAAUUCAGGCCGAGUAGUAGCACAACUAGAAUAUGCUAGUGCUAUUGGUAGCUUGAUGUAUGCUAUGCAUUGUACGAGGCCUGAUAUAGCAUUUGCAGUUUGCAAAAUGUCAAGAUUCACGAGUAACCCUAGUGUUGAACACUGGAAAGCAAUUGGUAGAAUACUUGGUUAUCUUAAAAGGACCAUUCAUUUGGGUUUAUUUUAUAAUGAUUAUCCUGAAGUACUGGAAGGAUAUUCAGAUGCUAGUUGGGUAACCAAUACAAGAGAUAAUAAAUCCACUUCUGGUUGGAUUUUUACAAUUGUUGGAGGAGCAGUUUCCUGGGCUUCAAAGAAACAAACGUACAUAACUCAUUCAACAAUGGAAAGUGAGUUUAUAGCACUCGCAGUUGCAAGCAAGGAAGUAGAAUGACUGAGAAAUUUGUUGUUUGAUAUAAUGUUAUGGCCACAACCGAUGCCAUAUAUUUCUUUGUACUGCGAUAGUGAAGCUACAUUGUCUAGAGCUUAUAAUAAAGUGUAUAAUGGAAAGUCUAGACAUAUUAGCUUGAGACAUGAAUAUGUGAAACAAUUAAUAGCAGAUGGUGUUAUUAAUAUUGUUUAUGUUAGGACUAAUAAGAACCUAGCGGAUCCUUUAAUAAAAGGUCUUACAAGAGACUUAGUUAAGGAUACAUCUUUUGGAAUGGGAUUGAAACCUUUAAAUAAUAAAGUCACCAACGACGAUAACCCAACUAUGUAGUAGUUGUACCGCUACUCCAUAGUUAAAUGGAUAAUAACAAGUUGUUGUUAUGUGACUGGUUUGGCACCGAGUAAUAAAUAAUCACAUUCGAGAUAUUCGGUGCAAAUAGCUACGAGGUUGAGGUUGAGUAUUUAUUCUUAAUGAAGUUCAAGUCUUAUAGUAGCUAAAGACAUGAUUUGAAACUUCACCUAAGUGAACAUAAGAAAUGGUGCCGUUUCUAACAAGAUCAUGGUUUAAUCUAGUAAAUGUUCAUGAAUUCAAGAUAGAGCACAAGGCCGGAAUAGUGCUAAAUAUUGGAACACAACUUUGAAAAUCUGGGAUAGCUUAUAUGUGAUGUAUCUCCGGUAUUUACUUAAGAGACAAAGUUUAAUGCUUAGCACAUUAUUGUCUUGUAAAUGCUUUGAAAUACACUCACUAAUUAAAGGUUAAAAUCGAAAGAUAUCUUUUUGUAUGUAUAAGUUUAUCAUUAAUAAAUAUGAAAAAUAUUACAAUCUAGUGGGGGAUUGUAAGAGAGAUUGUAACAUUUUCAAUCUUUCGUUUGAUAUUCUGGAAGAAAACGGUUUGCCGUUUAUGGAGAAAACGGCUAACUGUUUAAUUCCAAAUAGCAUGUUUUCUGUUCUAGAGAAAACGACUAACUAUUUGGAGAAAAUGGCUAACUGUUUAAUUCUAGAGAGCAUGUUUUCUGUUCUAGAGAAAGCGGCUAACCGUUUGGAUAAAACGACCAACCGUUAAUUACAGAGAGCAACUUAUUUGACAUUCUGGAAUAAAACGGCUCACCGUUAUUGAGAAAACGGCUAACCGUUUAUUUCCAGAAAGCGUGUUUUUGCGUCAAUUGGAAAAACGGUUAGCAAGCUUGGAAAUUUCAAUUGUCAAUCGAUGCAAACUCAAACCAAAAGAGUGUUUUUUUGAAGAAGUACAAUUUCUAAUGGUUGUAUUCUUUCAAAUAAACAUCUUCUUUAUUAAAGAUAGACAAACAAUUAGAUCAUAAUCAGAUUUUGCAGGUUUCAUAUAUGUUCUGGAAAUACAAUAGAUCAUAAUCAGAUUUUGCAGGUUUCAUAUAUGUUCUGGAAAUACAAUCUUAUUUGCUAGAGAUUGUAUUCAUGAUUUGAUAUAUCUUGGGGGUAAUUUACCAUUAAAACUCUAUAGCAAACCAAGAUUGGUGAGGACAAAUAAAACCUUAAAGGAAAGUGUGCAAACACGUCUCAAAUCCUAAGAAUUGUUUUUUGUUCUUUGCCUCCAUAUUCUUAAAAUUCGAAAAUUCACCCAUCAUAUACAUACUACAUAUUAUUAACUUUUGUUUUAUAACUAUAGUGUUUUUUUUUUACCGCAACUGUAGUUUAAAAACUACAGCACCUCAAUCCCAAACAAGACCUUAGUGGAAGCGAGCGCAAAAGCCGAUCACCCAACAUUCGCGCUUGUGAGAGACUCCACUCUCUCCACUCAUUCCAAAUCCAAAAUCCUCGACCGUUUCAAAAAUCUCGGCGUCAAUUUAGUUCUUGUGCGCCACUCUUUUAGCUUUCCAAUUUUCCCGCCAAUUUUCUUUUAUUGUGAUUAAUUAAUUAAUUAAUUAAUUAAAGUAAAGAUUUUAUAUUAUAAUUUUGUUUGCAGGGAGAUCUAUACAGCCAUGAGAGCUUGGUGAGUGCAAUAAAGCAAGUGGAUGUUAAGGUAAUGAUUAACUUAAGUAAAUGCGUUAACUAAUUACUUGGGAUUUUAAAUUCAAAUGCGUGAAUUGUUCUAAAAAAUGAUUUAUGUUUAUUAGUCAGAGAUUCUUUCCUUCAGAAUUUGGAAAUGAUGUUGAUCGCGUGCAUGCCGUUGAGCCAGCAAGAACAUCAUUUGCCACCAAGGCUAAAAUCCGCCGAGCUGUUGAGGCUGAAGGAAUUCCAUACACCUACGUAGCUUCCAAUUUCUUCGCUGGUUUGUAUCUUUCCAGUUUCUCACAGCCUGAAGCCACAGCUCCUCCAAGGGAUAAAGUGGUCAUCGUAGGUGAUCGAAAUGCAAAAGGCAAAGCGCUUCUGGAUACAUUUACUCUGUACACGCAAUGUGUGGUUACUGUUUGGGGAUAAAAAAGGAGAUUAAUUAAUAAAGAAAAUGAAAUUAUUGAGGGAUUUGCUGAAGAGUUGCGUGCACUCCUCAUUUUUCUCCACCACUCAUCUUACUUGCAAAAUGCAAUGACCAAACUAUCCUCGCCAAAGCCUAGACAUUUACUUGUGUUCAAAGGCCAUUUAAGAGAGACAAGUACAAAAAAUUAUAAAGGAUAGUGAGCAAAAGAAGAAAAUGGAAGGAGGGGAGAAUAAAAAAUGGGAGUGGGGCGUUAUCUAGGGAGGAUUUUUAUUUUUAUUUUUUUUCCUCUCUUCUCCAUGGCAUCUCUUUCUCUCUUUCUCCCACUAAGAAAUUCUUUCUUUUACACUCUAUUUUACUUUUAUUCAAAUUACACAAAAAACUUUUGGUUUUAAGGCAAUGUUUAUUAAGCCACGUGAAUUUGAAAAAGCAGGAAUAAGGGGAUGAUUUUAACACAUUAAUUCACCAACAUUAAUUGGAAAAGAUCAGUUGCCACUUCGAAUCAGAGUAAUUUCUUCGGCAAUAGCCAAAUAUUGAUAUUUGAUCUUGACACUGUAGUUAAAUCAAUGUAACUGGUUUUGUCAUUUGAUCCCCAGUAAUUUUUAACAAGGAAGACGAUAUUGGAAUUAAUUCUAUCAAAGCGGUGGAUGAUCCGAGAACACUGAACAAAAUACUUUACAUCAGACCCCGUUGCAAUAUCUACUCAUUUAAUGAUCUUGUGUCUCUGUGGGAGGAAAAGAUUGGCAAAGCCCUUGACAGGGUCUAUGUUACAGAGGAACAACUUCUGAAAAACAUUCAAGGUUAGUUAGAACUAUCACUUUAUCAAGUGCAUAGAUGUAACUGACCGAUAAUGGAAUUUUUUUUCCUUCUCCAAAAUGCGAUAGAAUCUAAUCGGUUUCAACAAUCUCAAGAACACCUAUUCAUGGUUGUGUUGUUUGAAAUCUGUAUGUAUCAGUUUUCUUUCUAGAUCUCAGAUUGCUCGCAAGGAUGUCAAGUUUUGAUGAUGCUUGCCUGUUUUCCUGUGUUUACAGAAGCUUCAUAUCCACUCAAUAUGAUAUUACCUAUUGGGCACUCUGCCUAUGUCCUGGGAGAUCAGACCAACUUCGAAAUUGAACCUUCAUUUGGAGUAGAGGCAACAGAGCUUUAUCCAGAUGUCAACUACACUACUGUGGAUGAGUACCUCAACCAGUUCAUAUAAACCUUCUGAGAUGAGCAGCAGGAUCCUAACAAAAAAUUGGGUGGUUUCCAUCCCUGAUUCUAUGGUAUAAAGAUAGCGGCUUUCCCUGCUUUUGCCAGUUCAAUGAAGUUUGUUAGAUGAUGUUAUUUAUACUAUACUAGCAAAGAUCAAGUUGCCUUUCUUGUCAAGAAGCCAAGCUCUGGCAUUGGUUUAUGCUAGUUUUUCAUGUUUAUUACUUUUUUUGCAUUCAAAAUGAUAAAACUGCAGAGGUUGUUGCAUGCACGUCAUUUGUUAGUAGGGGUAUCAAUUUAUGAACGUAUGAAGUAUCUCUUCUGCAACGGCAUCCUCCUUAACUGUCAGUAGGAUCACAAUAAGUCGACCAACCAUCUACCGUAUGGAUUAUCUAUAAAUUGAAAUUGGUGUGUAUUAUGGAUCUGUCACUCUGCUGUUUCUGUUUUCUUUUCUAUUUUUACCAAGAAAGAAACAUUGUUAAAACUGAAUGGUUGUUAUCUCGUCUUGUUGUAAUGUUGUGUAUGCUUUCUAGAAAAUAAUGAAGUGCCAAAUAUGAAAAUACUAGUGGCUACCUUACCAUCCUUAAUAAGUUGUCUGAUUGUCACCGUCAACAAUCACUCUCAGCAACUCAUAAUCCAUUUAAGCAUAUUAUAAAAUAAUCAAUUUUGUAUUUGCACCAACUUUUAGUUUUAAAUGACAAUUUCGUUGAUCCCCACACUUCUGUACUAAUCAAAUCCACUGAAACUGGACUUUUUUUUCUUUUUUUUUAUAAUUACAUCGAUUGCAUUGGCUAUUGCAGGGAAAAGACUGCCUCUACAGGGAACUAAACUUUCAGAAUUGUUCUUAUGAGGGUUUGAAUAUGCUCUCGUACUAGGUCAAUGGCCUAUUGGUUCGAGACCAUUCACAAAGAAAGAAAUGAGUUUUGCUUGUAUAAAUGAAAGAAAUCCAAAUGAUAACUAAUGUAUAGUGGUACAUGAGAAAAAUAAUUUCAGCCCGUGUAAAGUCAAAAAGAGAAAAUAUUAAAAGAAAGGAUAAUGUCAUUGAGUUCGGUGAAGUGAAAGAAAAUGAAAAACAUGGGAUUUAGUCAAACUUAGUGUCCCAAUCAGCAGAAAAAGGUUUUAGAAACUCACCUCAAGUUAAGCCAACUAUUAGGAGCUUUAUUUAAUCAUGACUUUCUAAUGUAUAGUACUCCAAUACUAAACGAGGGCUACCUCUACGCUUGCAAUUGUAAAUGAAAUUGAGUUCGUGACGCACAAUGAAGUGAGCAAAAUGAGUUGAGAUCUGAGAAUAUAUUAAAGAAAAUAUGAAUCAAUGAAUUUUGGUUAAAAAAAACAAAUGCUGGUUCUUCAAGACCUGCGUGUAUUGUGUAAGUUUUGUUAGGAGAAGGAAAGCAUUUUGGUCUAAAACGCACUAAAUCGGAUUCAUUUGCUUGAUAUCUAAUAAGGGUGAAUUAACCACUCGCCCACAGCAAUUCAAGUCCCAAAAAAAUUAUUGUGGGGGCUAAAUUUCUUCUUUAAUUAUAACAAAUAAUUGAGUGGAGGAUAAAAAUUUAGGCCAUGUAUAACAAUAACUAAUAUAAACUAGUCCUAAUAAUAGUAUAAUUGUAAAUAUCAGUUGUAGUCUCAUACAAUAUAAGUUUAUAGAUUAUAAUAUCGGCAUAAAAAGAAAAAUGAUAUCUGACGGUCAAUCAAUAAAAGGACAAAAACUUGGAGUAACAUACCACAAAGUCAAUGUAGCUGGACAGAUGAAUAUAAUAUGUAAACAAAUUUAAAUGGGAUAAUACCAUACGGUACAUACAUAACAUUUUAAAACUGAAUUAAAAAAAUAAAAUUAAAACUGAAUUGGAAUUCGUAUGUGUAUCCAGCUACCUUGCAACAGUUGUAAGGUACCCUAACUUUGCAACAAUUUCAUCCUUCGUGCAUUCGGUCACAAAGUCCAAAUUAGGCACGUUUAAGAAUCGAACUGAAAAACUAAAAAAAAAGAAUCCGGCGAUAUUUGCGAACCGGAAACGAGCCAGCGUUAUGCUUAUGUCAUUUCAGAGAUAUCAACAGUCGUGCUUUCAGUCCUUAAACCUCAAGGGCAUUUUCGUCCUUUCACUCAAGCGUGAAACUGCAUGUAAGAACUGCUUCGCUUACACGCUCCAUGCACAUUUAAAGGCACCACUGUCGGAUAAAAAAUAUCCAUCCAUUUGAUCAUUUCAAAACAAAACGAAAAAAAAAAUCUCAGUAAUUGAACUGAACGAGUCUCAGAAAUGGCAUCGAAAAGUAAGAUUCUAUUCAUCGGCGGGACAGGGUAUAUCGGUAAAUUCACUGUCGAAGCGAGCGUAAAAGCCGGCCACCCGACGUUCGUGCUCGUGAGAGAAUCCACAAUCUCUGGUCCUUCCAAAUCUCAACUCCUCGAUCACUUCAAAAACCUCGGCGUCAAUCUUGUCAUAGUGCGUUUUCAUUUUUCUCUUUUCUUUAUUUUUUAUUCCGAUCAUUUUUACACGUCGAAGUGUAGCAUCUACUACUUAAUAUACAUAAUGAUAUUAUUAUUUUUUAAUUUUUUUGGGUUGCUGUUAUUAUUAUACAGGGAGAUGUGUUGAAUCACGAGAGUUUGGUGAAGGCGAUAAAACAAGUGGACGCGGUGAUAUCAACAGUUGGUCACACUUUAAUAGCCGAUCAGGUCAAGAUUAUUGCUGCCAUUAAAGAAGCCGGUAACGUUAAGGUAUGACAUAAUUAAUGUAAAUGUCUUAGAUUUCGAUCAGGAUUGUGCACUCGUGCACACGUGGUGAUUUAUUCUUCGUGUGGAGCUCGCUGUAGAGUAGAGCUCCCAGUUCCGCUAAUAAACACCCGUCAGAUGCGCAAUUGCGCCUCAAAAUAAUUUAAUUAAUUAAUUAGGUAUAAACACCGAUGGCAUGAAAGCAAUUAAAAUUAGUUGAUGUUUAUAAAUUAUUUAUUACUCAGAGAUUCUUACCAUCGGAAUUUGGAAAUGAUGUUGAUCGAGUCGAAGGCGCCGUAGAGCCAACAAAAUCGACGUAUGACGUAAAGGCGAAAAUCCGCCGAGCCGUUGAGGCAGAAGGCAUUCCGUACACUUACGUAGAAUCUUAUUGUUUUGAUGGGUAUUUCCUCCCCAAUUUGUUGCAGCCUGAGGCCACUGCCCCCCCUAGGGAUAAGGUUGUCAUCUUAGGCGAUGGAAAUCCAAAAGGUAAUAUAAUUUAAUUAAGCUCUGUUUGUUUGGUAUGUAUUGCGGUGUUAAUGUUAUUGUCUGUUGUACAAUGGAUGGUCUUGCUUGGUACUGUUGUUGGAGAGCUGCAGUGUUUUGAUAAACACCUCUAUAGUCUAUCCUUAUCCUUAGCUUUCAAGUUAAGUUGAUUUUAUACAACACUUGUUUAAUUAAAAACUUGUAAUAUUCUUACUACUUUGAUAAAAAAAAUAUUACGAUUAAAGUAUUAAUGGCACCAUAAUACGAAAUGAAUCUUAAGUGGUCAUUAUAGAUUUUAAGAUAGAGUUUUAAGUGAUUACCAGAUACUUUAGCUGCUGAACCGCCACAUCAUGGUUGCCACACAACAAUUUCAAACAGAACCUAAAUAACUUCAUUGCAAAACAGUUAAAUGAAUCUAACUUAGUUUCGUCGUUUGAUUUUCAGCUGUUUUUAACAAGGAAGAUGAUAUUGGAACCUACACUAUCAAAGCGGUUGAUGAUCCGAGAACCUUGAACAAAAACUUUUACAUUCAGCCUCCCGGUAAUAUUUACUCAUUCAAUGAUCUUGUGUCUCUGUGGGAGAGAAAGAUUGGUAAAACCCUCGAAAAGGAGUAUGUUUCAGAGGAGCAGCUCCUAAAGAAUAUUCAAGGUUGGUUAAAACUCUCUUUUUUAAAUGUAUUAAAGAGAGCCGUAUAUUCUCUGCCGUAAAUGUUAUUGAUCCUGUCUUCUCCAAAAUGUUGCAGAAGCUGCACCUCCACACAAUGUGAUAUUAUCAAUUUAUCACUCUGCUUUCGUGAAGGGAGUUCAAACCAACUUCAAGAUUGAACCAUCUUUUGGAGUUGAAGCCUCGCAGCUUUAUCCUGAUGUCAAGUACACUACAGUUGAUGAGUACCUCAAUCAGUUUGUGUAACCCUUCUCUGUUUCCAGCUGCAGCUUGCAGGAUCUUGGACUCUUGGUAAAUAAAUAAUUGGCUUGUUGCCAUCUUUGGUUUUAUAUGUAAAAAUUAUGGUUGUUGGCCUUACUUUCUUCUGGUUGUCCAUGGAAUUUGUUAGACCAUAUUAUGUUUGCUAUGUCAGUGAUCAAAUGAAGUAGGCCAUGUACUUGAUUUGAGAGUAGUAGUUAUAAAAAGCCAUCAUGAUCAGGUGGGUGCGUGGGUUGGGCUUCUAUUAGGGUGCGUGUGUUGGGCUUCAGGGGCUUGUGAUAUGGGUUCGACAGCCCCUAACGGGCAGUCAUUAUAAAAAUAAUUAUAGAGUUACAAAUCUAUGUAAAAAGCAAAAAUUAAAAGUAAUUUAUCAAUAAAAAUAAUUAAAAUUAAUAAAAAGUAGGUAUGAUAUUUCAGAAAUUAAAUUAAAGAUAGCAUUCUAAAGAGUUGGAUAAUCCUCCAACUAAACUAAAGAUCUAGUACAUUUGAGAGCAAAUUUAAUUAAAGAAAAGGAUAAGGAAAAACAAUAGAAUAAUAAUAUUAAAAAUUGCAAAUCUUGGUCUUUUUUUUUUACGAUGAUGUUGAUUUCUUAUAAAUUUAAUCUUAUCUAUAGAAUUAUUUAGUUACUGUAUGUCAAAAUUUCCUAUAAAGAUGAAGAAAAAUUAUAUUAGGAGAAGAUCCAAAUCCGUUUAACUGAUGCAUCAUCAACAACAUGAGUACAACAUUUUCGAAUAAACAAAAGAAACUCGUUUUAUGUGCGAACCAGUUCCAAAAUAAAGAGCAGACUAUUGGAAGGAGACAAAUACUACAAGAAGAACAAAACAUUCUACAGUUCCUACAUGAGCCCGCAACAAUUAAUUAUUAACUCGACAUUCAUUACACUUUUUCUUUAAUUUGACAAAGAAACCAAAAAUAAGAUAAAAUUGACUAAGAAAUAAAAAAAUGACCAAAAUCUUUUUGAAGUUUUGCCAGUUCAGCCAUGCACGCUUAUCUUUAUUCACUUGUUUCCUUUCUUUCCUGGAGCCUUCACAAAUCCUUUACCUUUCUGAGCCUUGCCAAUUUUCCCCUUCUUCAAACCACCUGGCCUUGCUGGAUCCACGUGUCCUUGCAUCCUUUUUCAUUCGUGGAUCAACAAGAAUCUCCCCCUUUCCAACUCUCUCUUGAACUCCUUUCUUUGCGACCAUGUAUUCUUUUGUAGGCCUUUUGGGUAUAGUUGUCUUGUAUAAUUGUUCAAUUUGAUUCCUCUUCGAACGAUCAGAGAUGUCCGCUUAGUCUAAUAUGACAUUUGCCUUCUUGCGAACCUUCUCAAGAUUUCGCAUGGCAACCCGUAUCUUUCGAGCUUUGGUCUUAGCCACCUUCUUGGCAAUAAGGGUGGGCGAUUCGGUUUUGGGAUAAACUUUUGGUUUCGUAUCGGUUUAGAUUCAAAAAUAGUAUAAAAAAAUAUUUAGAUUUUAUGGGAAAAAAUCUGAACCGAAACUGACCUAUCGAUUUCGUCUCGGUUUCAGUUUAGUUUCGAUUCUCCUAAUAGUUUUGUUUUGCCUUAUUGACUUCCGGUCAAGGACACUUUUGAAAAAUUUACAAACAAAAAAAAAUUGGCCAUAACAAAAUUUCUAUAUGUAAAUAUUUCCUAAACAUUGGGCUAUACUAAAUUUUUUUAAAAGGUAGGGAUCCAAACGAUAUUAUCCCUCUACUUCAUCUUCAACCUUCGUCACUUAGCAGCUACCACAGUAUCGAAAUGGAAAAACUAAAAAAGCACCGUAGGAUACGCAUAUCCACACAUAUCUAAUAAAACUAAAUAUUAUUAAUAAUUUAGUAUAGUAAUAAUAAAACAAGACAAACAUGAAAUUAGAAAAGACUAAAGAGCUUUUUAAGAAAAAAGCCAUUUAAAAAACGAAAAAUAGCAAGUUAUUUGGCUAGUUAACUGGCGACAGAAGUAAUGGAAAGAAGCAACAACGGCAGCGGCAGGUCAACAACGAAGAUUCAGCAGCACCGACCACCCACAGACUUGGAUUCGAUUGCAAAGUUGGGACUUAGGAUUUGGGUUUGUGGCUGCUGAAAUUGAAAGCGAGAGAGUAGAAAGUAGAGACUGAGAGUGGUGCAAACAUGUGUAAUUCUGUGUGUGUGUGUGUCUAUAUAUAUAUAUAUAUAUAUAUAUAUAUAUAUAUAUAUAUAUAUAAUGUGAAAUUAUAAAAAUGCCAUUAUAUCGGUUCGAUUCGAAUUUUGUAACUUGUGAUCCGAAAACUGAACCAAAUCGAAUCAUUUGGUUUGGUAUUUAUAUAUUCGGGUUUUUAAUUUAAAAAAAACUAAAUUAAAACUGAAAAAACCAGAACCGAAUUUUUUUUUUUUUUUUUGUUUCGGUUCAAUUCUGCCCAUCCCAACUUAGUAGGCUGGGCAUCAAUUUCUUUGAAUUGUGCUUUCAUUGCAGUAAUCUCCUCCUUGGUAAUAGGUUUAAUUGCUUACUGAUGCCUCAUUUCCUCUAGUAACAACUAGUCUAACAAGUCAUCAUCGUCAAACAUGUACCUAUUAUAAGCAUCAUCCAGAAUUUGCUCUCUUUGCAUUUUGCUUAGUGUCUUCUUUGCACAAGCUAAUAUCUCAGCUUUUUGUAUCAAUAUCUUUAUCUUUUGAUUCACCAGCGGAUGAAUCAUCACCGGAAUAGAGUGGUGAAGGCCCCAUAGAUCAGUGUGAUCAAGUUCUAGUGUAGUUUUGGUUUUGAUUUCAGUAUUAGGAAAAUGAAGCCUAUGAAAUUUACCAAGCUAACAUGCUUCACAAAAGUGCUUUAAUACUUGACUAUGAAUACUUGAAGACGAUAAAUGAGGAUAAAUAAAUUUAAGGCAAAUGUUAUGUUACAAUUAAUGUAACAUACACACUCAAUAACAACCACACAAAUUUUGUGGGCCCAUUAUUUGUGUGGUUGUUGUUGAGUGUGUAUGUUACAUUAAUUGUAACAUAGGGGCUCCCUAAAUUUAAAUAUGCAUUAGAUUUUGAGGGUUGGGAUGUCAAAACUUUUGGUGAAAAAGAGUUAGUACAAGCAUUUUUAUUGAGAUUUAAAACAUUUCUUAAGAUGAUCAAUGCUAGUUACAGAAUAGGAAUGAAAAAAAAAGGCAACAUAGACAAAGGUUUGUUUAUUUGAUUGUAAGAUAGAAAAGACUUGUAUUUAGGUUGUGGAAAGGAUUUGAGCAGCAAUUUAUACAACCUUUUCUCAGCAAAACCUUCCUCUUCAAUGAAUCCUUCACAAAACAAAUAGAUCCAAGAAAUUUGACAAAUAAAUUGUUGUCAAUGGUAAGUUUUGAAAUGCUUAAUAGAUUCUUUGUAAUGGAUGGAACAAACAAUACAUCCUUAAGUAAAAUAUGUCUUAUAUUAUCUUUUUUUUUAAUUAUUUUUAAAAAAUAAGUGAAUAAUAGUAUGUCAAUCUCAAAUAUCAAUAUGUACAAUUUUUAUUUGUGUAAGAAUUUGCAUCCAAUAAUCAUCAAUACAUAAUUGUCUUUUAAUUUAAUUGUUCUCACCUCCCUUCCAAACUUUGAAAAGGUAAAAUAAGAUCAAUCAUGUCGGUGGCAAUUAAUAUAAGGAUUACUUUUCUUAUUUGUAGUAACGUCCUCUGAUUAUUUAGCUGAUUUUCAAGCUACACAUUUAUUCCAUUUGAUGUUGAUAUUAGUAAAAUUAAUGUAAUAUUUAAAAAGGAAAAAAAUCCGUCGAGCUAAAAGCUGAGUAUAAAAUUGAACCCGACCCAAACCAGAAACGCACGCCAACAGCAUGCUUGCGUCAGUCGGCCCAAGCCCAUAAACCCACCAAGCCCAAUCCAAAUAGAAAAAUGAAUUGGAUGCCCGAGAUAGCACAAACAGAUAAGUAACGCUAGCGCUAUCCCCAGUCUCAUAUCUUCAACGGUAUCCAGCCAACAUCUCAAAGUGUUCAAUUUUUUUUUGAAGCUAAAAAAAAAAUUCAAAAUUUUCAAGUGGAAUCUGGGAAGAUGGCAACAAAAAGCAAGAUUCUGGUUAUCGGCGGAACCGGAUACAUAGGUAAGUACUUAAGGUGCGUUUGAAAUUGAAGUUGGACAGGUAUAACUUUAAAACUGCAGCACUAAAAUGUUUGGUAAACACUAACUAUUGUAACUUAAAAACUAUUUAAUAUAAUUUUUCACUUGUAUAAUAAAAAAUUUAUUAUAUCUUUAAUAAUUUUAUCAAAAUUAUUAUUUAAAAUAUAUACAUACUACAUAUUAUUAAUUUUUGUUUUAUAACUAUAAUUUUUUUCCUACCGCAACUGUAAUUUAAAAACUACAGCACCUCAAUCCCAAACAAGACUUUAGUGGAUGCGAGCGCGAAAGACGAUCACCCAACAUUUGCGCUUGUGAGAGACUCCACUCUCUCCACUCCUUCCAAAUCCAAAAUCCUCGACCGUUUCAAAAAUCUCGGCGUCAAUUUAGUUCCUGUGCGCCACUCUUUUAGCUUUCCAUUUUUCCUGCCAAUUUUCUUUUAUUGUGAUUAAUUAAUUAAUGUAAAGAUUUUAUAUUAUAAUUUUGUUUUCAGGGAGAUCUAUACAGCCAUGAGAGCUUGGUGAGUGCAAUAAAGCAAGUGGAUGUGGUGAUAUCAGCGAUAGGUCGCACUCAAUUAGCUGAUCAACUCAACAUUAUCGCAGCAAAUUGCGAUAACUAAUUACUUGGGAUUUUAAAGAAGCUGGAAAUGUUAAGGUACUGAUUAACUUAAGUAAAUGCGUUAACUAAUUACUUGGGAUUUUAAAUUCAAAUGCGUGAAUUGUUCUAAAAAAUGAUUUAUGUUUAUUAGUCAGAGAUUCUUUCCUUCAGAAUUUGGAAAUGAUGUUGAUCGCGUGCAUGCCGUUGAGCCAGCAAGAACAUCAUUUGCCACCAAGGCUAAAAUCCGCCGAGCUGUUGAGGCUGAAGGAAUUCCAUACACCUACGUAGCUUCCAAUUUCUUCGCUGGUUUGUAUCUUUCCAGUUUCUCACAGCCUGGAGCCGCAGCUCCUCCAAGGGAUAAAGUGGUCAUCGUAGGUGAUGGAAAUGCAAAAGGCAAAGCGCUUCUGGAUACAUUUACUCUGUACACGCAGUGUGUGGUUACUGUUUAGGGAUAAAAAAGGAGAUUAAUUAAUAAAGAAAAUGAAAUUAUUGAGGGAUUUGCUGAAGAGUUGCGUGCACUCCUCAUUUUUCUCCACCACUCAUCUUACUUGCAAAAUGCAAUGACCAAACUAUCCUCGCCAAAGCCUAGACAUUUGCUUGUGUUCAAAGGCCAUUUAAGGGAGACAAGUACAAAAAAUUAUAAAGGAUAGUGAGCAAAAGAAGAAAAUGGAAGGGGGAGAGUAAAAAAGGGGAGUGGGGCGUUAUCCAGGGAGGAUUUUUAUUUUUAUUUUUUUCCUCUCUUCUCCAUGGCAUCUCUUUCUCUCUUUCUCCCACUAAGAAAUUCUUUCUUUUACACUCUAUUUUACUUUUCUACAAAUUACACAAAAAGCUUUUGGUUUUAAGGCAAUGUUUAUUAAGCCACAUGAACUUGAAAAAGCAUGAAUAAGGGGAUGAUUUUAACACAUUAAUUCACCAACAUUAAUUGGAAAAGAUCAGUUGCCACUUCGAAUCAGAGUAAUUUCUUCGGCAAUAGCCAAAUAUUGAUAUUUGAUCUUGACACUGUAGUUAAAUGAAUGUAACUGGUUUUGUCAUUUGAUCCCCAGCAUUUUUUUAACAAGGAAGACGAUAUUGGAAUCAAUUCUAUCAAAGCGGUGGAUGAUCCAAGAACACUGAACAAAAUACUUUACAUCAGACCCCGUUGCAGUAUCUACUCAUUCAAUGAUCUUGUGUCUCUGUGGGAGGAAAAGAUUGGCAAAGCCCUUGACAGGGUCUAUGUUACAGAGGAACAACUUCUGAAAAACAUUCAAGGUUAGUUAGAACUAUCACUUUAUUCGUUACUGAUGACAACACAUGGAGAAAUUUUCCUUGGUCUUAUCAAGUGGAUAGAUGUAACUGACCGAUAAUGGAAAAUUUUUUCCUUCUCCAAAAUGCGAUAGAAUCUAAUCGGUUUCAACAAUCUCAAGAACAUCUAUUCAUGGUUGUGUUGUUUGAAAUCUGUAUGUAUCAGUUUUCUUUCUAGAUCUCAGAUUGCUCGCAAGGAUGUCAAGUUUUGAUGAUGCUUGCCUGUUUUCCUGUGUUUACAGAAGGCUCAUAUCCACUCAAUAUGAUAUUAUCUAUUGGGCACUCUGCCUAUGUCCUGGGAGAUUAGACCAACUUCGAAAUUGAACCUUCAUUUGGAGUAGAGGCAACCGAGCUUUGUCCAGAUGUCAACUACACUACUGUGGAUGAGUACCUCAACCAGUUCAUAUAAACCUUCUGAGAUGAGCAGCAGGAUCCUAACCAAAAAUUGGGUGGUUUCCAUCCCUGAUUCUAUGGUAUAAAGAUAGCGGCUUUCCAUGCUUUUGCCAGUUCAAUGAAGUUUGUUAGAUGAUGUUAUUUAUACUAUACUAGCAAAGAUCAAGUUGCCUUUCUUGUCAAGAAGCCAAGCUCUGGCAUUGGUUUAUGCUAGUUUUUCACACUAAUAUUGGUAUUCACUAAUUUUUUUUUUUUCAUUUCACACCUCCAUCAUCAGUUGAGAUACCCUCUUGUAUGGUACUAACUUUGAUUUUCCUUAUGCUUCACUUGCUGUCUCUGCAGAUUCGUAAAAGAUCAUUCAUGGAUAAGAUCAGAACAUCAAUGUAAUACAGUAUGCAUUGAGAACUCCCACAUGAGUCUUGUUCUAGUUCUCGUUAGACAUGAAACAUGUUACAGUUCCAUAACUUGAGACAUUGUCAUUCAACAAUUAUCAUCGCAUUAAAACAGUGGCCAAUCCCUAACAGCUACCUUUUGACUCUUCACAUUUUUUUUCUGCAUUUUAUGCGCAUUAAUUAUCCAGACCUAGACUUACUCUUCUCAGCUUGGCCCGUUGGACAGUGAGUGAUGAAACAGAAAAUUUUUCAUGUUUAUGAAUGUAUGAAGUAUCUCUUCUGCACUGCACCGGCAUCCUCCUUAACUGUCAGUAGGAUCACAAUAAGUCGACCAACCAUCUACCGUAUGGAUUAUCUAUAAAUUGAAAUUGGUGUGUAUUAUGGAUCUGUCACUCUGCUGCUUCUGUUUUCUUUUCUAUUUUUACCAAGAAAGAAACAUUGUUAAAACUGAAUGGUUGUUAUCUCGUCUUGUUGUAAUGUUGUGUAUGCUUUCUAGAAAAUAAUGAAGUGCCAAAUAUGAAAAUACUAGUGGCUACCUUACCAUCCUUAAUAAGUUGUCUGAUUGUCACCGUCAACAAUCACUCUCAGAAACUCAUAAUCCAUUUAAGCAUAUUAUAAAAUAAUCAAUUUUGUAUUUGCACCAACUUUUAGUUUUAAAUGACAAUUUCGUUGAUCCCCUCACACUUCUGUACUAAUCAAAUCCACUGAAACUGGACUUUUUUUUUUUUUUUUUUAUAAUUACAUCGAUUGCAAUGGCUAUUGCAGGGAAAAGACAGCCUCUACAGGGAACUAAACUUUCAGAAUUGAUCUUAUGAGGGUUUGAAUAUGCUCUCGUACUAGGUCAAUGGCCUAUUGGUUCGAGACCAUUCACAAAGAAAGAAAUGAGUUUUGCUUGUAUAAAUGAAAGAAAUCCAAAUGAUAACUAAUGUAUAGUGGUACAUGAGAAAAAUAAUUUCAGCCCCUGUGUAAAGUCAAAAAGAGAAAAUAUUAAAAGAAAGGAUAAUGUCAUUGAGUUCGGUGAAGUGAAAGAAAAUAAAAAACAUGGGAUUUAGUCAAACUUAGUGUCCCAAUCAGCAGAAAAAGGUUUUAGAAACUCACCUCAAGUUAAGCCAACUAUUAGGAGCUUUAUUUAAUCAUGGCUUUCUAAUGUAUAGUACUCCAAUACUAAACGAGGGCUACCUCUACGCUUGCAAAUGUAAAUGAAAUUGAGUUCGUGACGCACAAUGAAGUGAGCAAAAUGAGUUGAGAUCUGAGAAUAUAUUAAAGAAAAUAUGAAUCAAUGAAUUUUGGUUAAAAAAAACAAAUGCUGGUUCUUCAAGACCUGCGUGUAUUGUGUAAGUUUUGUUAGGAGAAGGAAAGCAUUUUGGUCUAAAACGCACUAAAUCGGAUUCAUUUGCUUGAUAUCUAAUAAGGGUGAAUUAACCACUCGCCCACAGCAAUUCAAGUACCCAAAAAAGUUUUGUGGGGGCUAAAUUUCUUCUUUAAUUAUAACAAAUAAUUGAGCGGAGGAUAAAAAUUUAGGCCAUGUAUAACAAUAACUAAUAUAAACUAGUCCUAAUAAUAGUAUAAUUGUAAAUAUCAGUUGUAGUCUCAUACAAUAUAAGUUUAUAGAUUAUAAUAUCGGCAUAAAAAGAAAAAUGAUAUCUGACGGUCAAUCAAUAAAAGGACAAAAACUUGGAGUAACAUACCACAAAGUCAAUGUAGCUGGACAGUGAAUAUAAUAUGUAAACAAAUUUAAAUGGGAUAAUACCAUACGGUACAUACAUAACAUUUUAAAACUGAAUUAAAAAAAUAAAAUUAAAACUGAAUUGGAAUUCGUAUGUGUAUCCAGCUACCUUGCCACAGUUGUAAGGUACCCUAACUUUGCAACAAUUUCAUCCUUCGUGCAUUCGGUCACAAAGUCCAAAUUAGGCACGUUUAAGAAUCGAACUGAAAAACUAAAAAAAAGAAUCCGGCGAUAUUUGCGAACCGGAAACGAGCCAGCGUUAUGCUUAUGUCAUUUCAGAGAUAUCAACAGUCGUGCUUUCAGUCCUUAAACCUCAAGGGCAUUUUCGUCCUUUCACUCAAGCGUGAAACUGCAUGUAAGAACUGCUUCGCUUACACGCUCCAUGCACAUUUAAAGGCACCACUGUCGGAUAAAAAAUAUCCAUCCAUUUGAUCAUUUCAAAACAAAACGAAAAAAAAAAUCUCAGUAAUUGAACUGAACGAGUCUCAGAAAUGGCAUCGAAAAGUAAGAUUCUAUUCAUCGGCGGGACAGGGUAUAUCGGUAAAUCCACUGUCGAAGCGAGCGUAAAAGCCGGCCACCCGACGUUCGUGCUCGUGAGAGAAUCCACAAUCUCUGGUCCUUCCAAAUCUCAACUCCUCGAUCACUUCAAAAACCUCGGCGUCAAUCUCGUCAUAGUGCGUUUUCAUUUUUCUCUUUUCUUAAUUUUUUAUUCCGAUCAUUUUUACACGUCGAAGUGUAGCAUCUACUACUUAAUAUACAUAAUGAUAUUAUUAUUUUUUAAUUUUUUUGGGUUGCUGUUAUUAUUAUGCAGGGAGAUGUGUUGAAUCACGAGAGUUUGGUGAAGGCGAUUAAACAAGUGGACGUGGUGAUAUCAACGGUCGGUCACACUUUAUUAGCUGAUCAGGUCAAGAUUAUUGCUGCCAUUAAAGAAGCCGGUAACGUUAAGGUAUAACAUAAUUAAUGUAAAUGUCUUAGAUUCCGAUCAGGAUUGUGCACUCGCGAACACGUGGUGAUUUAUUCUUGGUGUGGAGCUCGCUGUAGAGUAGAGCUCCCAGUUCAGCUAAUAAACACCCCGUCACAUGCGCAAUUGCGCCUCAAAAUAAUUUAAUUGAUUAAUUAAGGAUAAAUACCAAUGGCAUGAAAGCAAUUAAAAUUAGUUGAUGUUUAUAAAUUAUUUAUUACUCAGAGAUUCUUACCAUCGGAAUUUGGAAAUGAUGUUGAUCGAGUUGAAGGCGCCGUAGAGCCAACAAAAUCGACGUAUGACGUAAAGGCGAAAAUCCGCCGAGCCGUUGAGGCAGAAGGCAUUCCGUACACUUACGUAGAAUCUUAUUGUUUUGAUGGCUAUUUCCUCCCCAAUUUGUUGCAGCCUGAGGCCACUGCCCCCCUAGGGAUAAGGUUGUCAUCUUAGGCGAUGGAAAUCCAAAAGGUAAUAUAAUUUAAUUAAGCUCUGUUUGUUUGGUAUGUAUUUCGGUGUUAAUGUUAUUGUCUGUUGUACAAUGGAUGGUCUUGCUUGGUACUGUUGUUGGAGAGCUGCAGUGUUUUGAUAAACACCUCUAUCCUUAGCUUUCAAGUUAAGUUGAUUUUAUACAACACUUGUUUAAUUCAAAACUUGUAAUAUUCUUACUACUUUGAUAAAAAAUAUUACGAUUAAAGCAUUAAUGGCACCAUAAUACGAAAUGAACCUUAAGUGGUCAUUAUAGAUUUUAAGAUAGAGUUUUAAGUGAUUACCAGAUACUUUAGCUGCUGAACCGCCACAUCAUGGUUGCCACACAACAAUUUCAAACAGAGCCUAAAUAACUUCAUUGCAAAACAGUUAAAUGAAUCUAACUUAGUUUCGUCGUUUGAUUUUCAGCUGUUUUUAACAAGGAAGAUGAUAUUGGAACCUACACUAUCAAAGCGGUUGAUGAUCCGAGAACCUUGAACAAAAACUUUUACAUUCAGCCUCCCGGUAAUAUUUACUCAUUCAAUGAUCUUGUGUCUCUGUGGGAGAGAAAGAUUGGUAAAACCCUCGAAAAGGAGUAUGUUUCAGAGGAGCAGCUCCUAAAGAAUAUUCAAGGUUGGUUAAAACUCUCUUUUUUUAAAUGUAUUAAAGAGAGCCGUAUAUUCUCUGCCGUAAAUGUUAUUGAUCCUGUCUUCUCCAAAAUGUUGCAGAAGCUGCACCUCCACACAAUGUGAUAUUAUCAAUUUAUCACUCUGCUUUCGUGAAGGGAGUUCAAACCAACUUCAAGAUUGAACCAUCUUUUGGAGUUGAAGCCUCGCAGCUUUAUCCUGAUGUCAAGUACACUACAGUUGAUGAGUACCUCAAUCAGUUUGUGUAACCCUUCUCUGUUUCCAGCUGCAGCUUGCAGGAUCUUGGACUGUUGGUAAAUAAAUAAUUGGCUUGUUGCCAUCUUUGGUUUUAUAUGUAAAAAUUAUGGUUGUUGGCCUUACUUUCUUCUGGUUGUCCAUGGAAUUUGUUAGACCAUAUUUUGUUUGCUAUGUCAGUGAUCAAAUGAAGUAGGCCAUGUACUUGAUUUGAGAGUAGUAGUUAUAAAGCCAUCAUGAUCAGGUGGGUGCGUGGGUUGGGCUUCUAUUAGGGUGCGUGUGUUGGGCUUCAGGGGCUUGUGAUAUGGGUUCGACAGCCCCUAACGGGCAGUCAUUAUAAAAAUAAUUAUAGAGUUACAAAUCUAUGUAAAAAGCAAAAAUUAAAAGUAAUUUAUCAAUAAAAAUAAUUAAAAUUAAUAAAAAGUAGGUAUGAUAUUUCAGAAAUCAAAUUAAAGAUAGCAUUCUAAAGAGUCGGAUAAUCCUCCAACUAAACUAAAGAUCUAGUACAUUUGAGAGCAAAUUUAAUUAAAGAAAAGGAUAAGGAAAAACAAUAGAAUAAUAAUAUUAAAAAUUGCAAAUCUUGGUCUUUUUUUUUUACGAUGAUGUUGAAUUCUUAUAAAUUUAAUCUUAUCUAUAGAAUUAUUUAGUUACUGUAUGUCAAAAUUUCCUAUAAAGAUGAAGAAAAAUUAUAUUAGGAGAAGAUCCAAAUCCGUUUAACUGAUGCAUCAUCGACAACAUGAGUACAACAUUUUUGAAUAAACAAAAGAAACUCGUUUUAUGUGCGAACCAGUUCCAAAAUAAAGAGCAGACUAUUGGAAGGAGACAAAUACUACAAGAAGAACAAAACAUUCUACAGUUCCUACAUGAGCCCGCAACAAUUCAUUAUUAACUCGACAUUCAUUACACUUUUUCUUUAAUUUGACAAAGAAACCAAAAAUAAGAUAAAAUUGACUAAGAAAUAAAAAAAUGACCGAAAUCUUUUUGAAGUUUUGCCAGUUCAGCCAUGCACGCUUAUCUUUAUUCACUUGUUUCCUUUCUUUCCUUUCUUUGCUGAAGCCUUCACAGAUCCUUUACCUUUCUGAGCCUUGCCAAUUUUCCCCUUCUUCAAACCACCUGGCCUUGCUGGAUCCACGUGUCCUUGCAUCCUUUUUCAUUCGUGGAUCAACAAGAAUCUUCCCCUUUCCAGCUCUCUCUUGAACUCCUUUCUUUGGGACCAGUAUUCUUUUGUCGGCCUUUUGGGUAUAGUUGUCUUGUAUAAUUGUUCAAUUUGAUUCCUCUUCGAACGAUCAGAGAUGUCCGCUUAGUCUGAUAUGACAUUUGCCUUCUUGCGAACCUUCUCAAGAUUUCGCAUGGCAACCCGUAUCUUUCGAGCUUUGGUCUUAGCCACCUUCUUGGCAGUAUGGGUGGGCGAUUCGGUUUUGGGAUAAACUUUUGGUUUCGUAUCGGUUUAGAUUAAAAAAUAAUAUAAAAAAAUAUUUAGAUUUUAAGAGAAAAAAUCCGAACCGAGACUCACCUAUCGAUUUCGGCUCGGUUUCAGUUCAGUUUUGAUUCUCCUAAUAGUUUUAUUUUGCCUUAUUGACUUCCGGUCAAUGACACUUUUGAAAAAUUUACCAAAAAAAAAAAAAAUGGCCAUAACAAAAUUUCUAUAUGCAAAUAUUUCCUAAACAUUAGGCUAUACUAAAUUUUUUUAAAAGGUAGGGACCCAAACGAUAUUAUCCCUCUACUUCAUCUUCAACCUUCGUCAUUAGGGAUGGCAAAAUCCGAGUUCGGGUCCGGGUUUAGCCAUUUGGGAUCCGGACCCGGAUGAAUAUUUUUUGUACCAGACCCGAAAAUAAACCCGCAUUUUUCCACUUCGAGUCCGGUACGGGUUCAACCCGAAAAAAUUCGGGUUCCCUGACUGCGGGUUUCCAACUCGGAUUAAUGAAUCCAAUUGAAAAAAAAAAACUAAAUUCAACAAAAAAAAUCAAAUAGAAAUACAUAUCCAGGAUUUCAGCAAAUCAAAGAAAAAUUAUUUCAUCUGGAAACUAAUUAACAAAAACAACAAUUUUGUUUGGCUGCCCAGAAUCAGCAACCCAAUGUGGCGGCUCGUUCAAAACAUUAGUGUUUUCAACAGAUUUUGGGGUAGGAAAAGCCAAACCUAUCUAGAACAAUGAAUUUGUAUUUUUGGGGGAGAUGAGGUACCUCACUGGUUUGUUGUGUGCGGUGCAGUGUAUCUUAAAUUUGGGGGAUGUGAGAAGGGGAGAGGGAGUGGUAAUAAUGGUGAAAGGUCAAAACCAAUAGAGAUGUCCUUCAAAAUGAGCUUCACACCUGUAAAACAGUGAAAUAAAGGUUAGAGGUGAAGCUGGGGUAUCCCGGUGUUCACACUCCGACGCUCAAGUUAGCAAACUCAAGCUUUUAUGACAAAGAGAACUGGCUAGCCCUCUGUAAAUUAGGGUUUAAGGUUCAAGGAAACCUAUUUUUUGGAAUGUGAGUGUUAAUGGUGAGUGAGAGACCUCUUGGAGAAUGAAACCUAUGCGCCUUUAUAUAUGGAGUACCUCAGCUGCCACGUGACGUACCCUUUUUGGCUAACGUCAUUUUUCAUUUUUAUGAUUUUUGGGUCGUUAUGUUCAUGUUCGCGGGGUAUCUCAUCUUUUAGAAACGUGGCGCGCGCUGGAGAGUGGUCCAGGGUACCUCUGCAGUAGCUGUCGGGUAGGCGGCUGAGGACCACUGUCCUUGGGACAGUGUCUUUCACUUUUGGUAAAGGUGACAGGCGGUUGUCCUCCCUUUUAACACGACAUUUUUUAUUCCUAAUUAUGACAAAAUCGAAUAAUAUCUUUUAAGAGAUGGAGACGUUUCUCAUGGUGGAUAUUUUCGGAAGAUUCUCUUGCAUCUGAUCAGCCGGGUUCCUCCAGUUACGCAGGGUACCUCAAUUUAUGUGGGGUACCUCUAAUUUUAUGGGGUACCACUAUUUGCGCAGGGUACCUUGAAUCAUGCCAAGUACCUUAGAUUAUGCGGAGUACCUCUAAUUGUGCGGGAUACCUCUAUUGCGCUAGGUACCUUGAAUCAUGCCGGGUACCUCAGAUUGUGCGGGGUAUCUCUAUUUGCGCAGGGUACCUUGAAUCAUGCUGGGCACCUCAGAUUGUGUGGGGUACCUUGAGUCAUGCGAGGUACCUCUAAUCAGGCCAGGUACCCUCUAAUUGUGCUGAGUACCUAUAAUCAUGCAGGGUACCUCUAAUCAAGCCGGGUACCUUUAAUCAUGCGGGGUACCUCUAAUCAGGCCGGGUACCUUAGAUUGUGCGGGGUACCUCUAUUUGCGCAGGGUACCUUGAAUCAUGCAGGGUAUCUCAGAUUGUGCGGGGUACCUCAAAUUGUGUGGGGUACUUCUAAUCGUGCGGGGUACCUCUAAUCAUGUCGGGUACCUCGGAUUGCACUGAAGUUAUUCCAUUCGUUGACACGUGGCGUUAUGCUAUCUUUCUUAUUUUUCCCCCAAACAACAUCCCUCUAGUUUCUUUUGGCAAGAAGUUUUGGAGGCAAAAGAAACUUACAUAAAAAGUAGAAGCGACACGUGGCGAUAUGAUGUUUAGCUCGAUGGGUAACUAAAUAGAGGGCGCCUUUAGGGGUACCCUGAGAACCCAAAAAGGGAAGAUGGGCUCCAUUUCCUCGGAAAUGGCUACCACUUUGGACAUGUUGGAAAGGAUAGAGCUAAUUGAUCAAAAAAAUUUCAUCUAUUUCUAGGGAAGAACACCAAAUACGGGUAGAGGGUAUCGUUAGGGUACCCCACCAUUACCCAUAGUUUGUUUUCUAGUGACUGCCAUGUAUAAAUCGCUCUGGUGAAGGCUUCAAUACAUUCUUUGGGCAUUUAAGAAGCAAUUAUUUGAUUAUCUCGGGAUCCACCUUAUUUAAGGGUAUAUUUCCUUCAUGUACUUUGAAGACAAAAAUAAAAUCACAGGGCUUUCUUCCUUGUAACUUCAGAGGUACCCUCGACAGAAGAAUAUAGUCAACAAUGCUUUUAAGCGUAUCAUGAUCGAGGAAUGGAGUGCUGAUCUGGGGUUGGUGGUGCCAAGAGUGGAGAAGAUGGUAGAUGAACCGGCUAUCUUGAAGGCGAUUAACGAUAGCGGGGCUCUCAACACAUCUUGGUCUGAAGGGGUAAUGCAAAUAAGUUUACGUUGAUUGGAUAUUCAGAAGAAGUAAUACGCCAUUAAAAGCAACAAGUUUUCCAAAAAGCCAACAAAGACAGACACCACCACACCACCCCGCGCUGGAUGAAAAACGAUGAAAGCAUGAUAAGUGACAUCGAGUAAGCCACGUUCUCUCUCUCUCUCUCACUCGCACUCGCACUCGCACUCGCACUCGCACUCGCACACACUGUUACUAAAAUAACCAAAAAUAAGAUUCCCAUCAAAAUAUUUUCAAGUAUCGUUCUUGAAAGUGGCGGCGGCUGAUGAUGAUGAACACAGCCGCGAUUGCGAUUGGCGAAGGCGGCGUUCAGCCCGUAUCACAGCUAGUUAUCGGUCGUGGCAGAAAAGAUAAUGAAACGACGGCUGAUGAUGAUAAUGAUGAUGUUGAACAGCCGCAAAUAUGGGUAAGUGAUGCGACGAUGAUUUGAUGAAGAUGAAGAUGAGCUGAAGAUGGAAUAAGAGUGGAAAUGUUUGUGCGGCUGGGAAAGUGUAAUGAGCUGCUAGGGCACCAUUUGGGUUUUUUUGCUUUCCUAUUUAUAUUAAAAAUAAUUUUUAAAAAUUAAUAUAUAUCCGGGUUCGGGUUUUGGAUGUACGGGUUUACCUAGACCCGGACACAUGCGGAUUCAGCAGCACCGACCACCCACAGACUUGGAUUCGAUUGCAAAGUUGGGACUUAGGAUUUGGGUUUGUGGCUGCUGAAACAGAAAGUGAGAGAGUAGAAAGUAGAGACUAAGAGUGGUGCAAACAUGUGUAAUUUUGUGUGUGUGUCUAUAUAUAUAUAUAUAAUGUGAAAUUACAAAAAUGCCAUUAUAUCAGUUCAAUUCGAAUUUUGUAACUUGUGAUCCAAAAACUGAACCAAACCGAACCAUUUGGUUUGGUUUUUAUAUAUUCAGGUUUUUAAUUUAAAAAAACUAAAUUGAAAUUGAAAGAACUAAACCGAACCGAAUUUUUUUUUUUUUUUUGUUUCGGUUCAAUUAUGCCCAUCCCUACUUAGUAGGCUGGGCAUUAAUUUCUUUGAAUUGUGCUUUCAUUGCAGUAAUCUCCUCCUUGGUAAUAGGUUUAAUUGCUUGUUGAUGCCUCAUUUCCUCUAGUAACAACUAGUCUAACAAGCCAUCAUCGUCAAACAUGUACCUAUUAUAAGCAUCAUCCAGAAUUUGCUCUCUUUGCUUUUUGCUUAGUGUCUUCUUUGCACAAGCUAUUAUCUCAGCUUUUGUAUGAAUAUCUUUAUCUUUUGAUUCACCAGAGGAUGAAUCAUCACCGGAAUAGAGUGGUGAAGGCCCCAUAGAUUAGUGUGAUCAAGUUCUAGUGUAGUUUUGGUUUUGAUUUCAGUAUUAGGAAAAUGAAGCCUAUGAAAUUUACUAAGCUAACAUGCUUCACAAAAGUGCUUUAAUACUUGAAGAGGAUAAAUGAGGAUAAAUAAAUUUAAAUAUACAUUAGAUUUUGAGGGUUGGGAUGUCAAAACUUUUGGUGAAAAAGAGUUAGUACAAGCAUUUUUAUUGAGAUUGAAAAUAUUUCUUAAGAUGAUCAAUACUAGUUACAAAAUUGGAAUGAAAAAAAAAGGCAACAUAGACAAAGGUUUGUUUAUUUGAUUGUAAGAUAGAAAAGACUUGUAUUUAAGUUGUGGAAAGGAUUUGAGCAGCAAUUUAUACAACCUUUUCUCAGCAAAACCUUCCUCUUCAAUGAAUCCUUCACAAAACAAAUAGAUCCAAGAAAUUCGACAAAUAAAUUGUUGUCAAUGGUAAGUUUUGAAAUGCUCAAUAGAUUCUUUGUAAUGGAUGGAACAAACAGUACAUCCUUAAGUAAAAUAUGUCUUAUAUUAUCUUUUUUUAAUUCUUUUUUAAAAAAUAAGUGAAUAAUAGUAUGUCAAUCUCAAAUAUCAAUAUGUACAAUUUUUAUUUGUGUAAGAAUUUGCAUCCAAUAAUCAUCAAUACAUAAUUGUCUUUUAAUUGAAUGGUUCUCACCUCCCUUCCAAACUUUGAAAAGGUAAAAUAAGAUCAAUCAUGUCAGUGGCAAUUAAUAUAAAGAUUACUUUUCUUAUUUGUAGUAACGUCCUCUGAUUAUUUAGCUGAUUUUCAAGCUACACAUUUAUUCCAUUUGAUGUUGAUAUUAGUAAAAUUAAUGUAAUAUUUAAAAAGGAAAAAAAUCCGUCGAGCUAAAAGCCGAGUAUAAAAUUGAACCGGACCCAAACCAGAAACGCACGCCAACAACAUGCUUGCGUUAGUCGGCCCAUGCCCAUAAACCCACCAAGCCCGAUCCAAAUAGAAAAAUGAAUUGGACACCCGAGAUAGCAGAAACAGAUAAGUAACGGUCGUGUUAUCCCCAAUCUCAUAUCUUCAACGGUAUCCAGCCAACAUCUCAAAGUGUUCAAUUUUUUUUUAAGCCAAAAAAAAAUUCAAAAUUUUCAAGCGGAAUCUGGGAAGAUGGCGAUGAAAAGCAAGAUUCUGGUUAUCGGCGGAACCGGAUACAUCGGUAAGUACUUAAGGUGCGUUUGAAAUUGAGGUUGAACAACUAUAACUUUAAAACUACAGCACUAAAAUAUUUGGUAAACACUAACUGUUGUAACUUAAAAGCUAUUUAAUAUAAUUUUUCACUUGUAUAAUAAAAAAUUUAUUAUCUUUAAUAAUUUUGUCAAAAUUAUUAUUUAAAAUAUAUACAGUAAGAGAGAUUGUAACAUUUUCAAUCUUUGGUUUGAUAUUCUGGAAGAAAACGGUUUGCCGUUUACGGAGAAAAUGGCUAACCGUUUAAUUUCAGAGAGCAUGUUUUCUAUUCUAGAGAAAACGACUAACCGUUUGGAGAAAAUGGCUAACCGUUUGGAGAAAACGGCUAACCGUUUUGAGAAAACGGCUAACCGUUUAAUUCCAGAGAGCAUGUUUUCUGUUCUAAAGAAAAUAACUAACCGUUUGGAUAAAACAACCAACCAUUAAUUACAGAGAGUAACUUAUUUGACAUUCUGGAAUAAAACGGCUCACCGUUAUUGAGAAAAUGGCUAACCGUUUAUUUCCAGAGAGCGUGUUUUUGCGUCAACUGGAAAAACGGUUAGCAAGCUUGGAAAUUUCAAUUGUCAAUCGAUGCAAACUCAAACCAAAAGAGUGUUUUUUAAAGAAGUACCAUUUUUAAUGGUUGUAUUCUUUCAAAUAAACAUCUUCUUUAUUAAAGAUAAACAAACUAUUAUAUCAUAAUCAGAUUUUGCAGGUUUCAUAUAUGUUCUGGAAAUACAAUCUUAUUUUCUAGAGAUUGUAUUCAGGAUUUGAUAUAUCUUAGGGGUAAUUUGCCAUUAAAACUCUAUAGCAAACCAAGAUUGGUGAGGGCAAAUAAAACCUUAAAGAAAAGUGUGCAAACACGUCUCAAAUCCUAAGAAAUUUUCUUUGUUCUUUGCCUCCAUAUUCUUAAAAUUUGAAAAUUCACCCAUCAAUCUUUAAGGUUUUAUUUUGAUGCAAAUAGAGGCUGAGAAGAGUUUGACGCCAUUUCUUAAUCCUAGUGUCCAUCUCGAUCGUUUUGAUGGAACAAAUUUCACUCGUUGGAAGGGAAAAUUGUUCUUUCUUCUUACUGUUCUUAAAGUGACAUAUGUUCUUGAUCCGAAAUUGGAACCAUUUCCAGAACCAAGAGAAGAUGAUACCGAAGUUGUUAAGGCUGCAAGGAAACGUCGUGAAGAUGAUGAAUUGAUGUGCCGGGGUCACAUACUCAAUACGCGUUCUGACAGGUUAUAUGAUCUCUACAAUUUUAUGACUUCUCCGGUGGAAAUUUGGAAUGCUCUUAAGUACAAAUACAAAACGGAGAAAGAAGGUACUGACAAAUUCCUUGUCUCUAAAUAUUUUGAAUUUAUUAUGAUAGACACACAAUCCAUUCUUGAUCAAAUACAUGAGUUAUAAAUUAUUGUUGCUAAGCUUCGAGAGUUAAAAGUUGAAAUUUUUGAAUCAUUUCAAGUUGGGACUAUUAUUGCUAAAUUGCCUCAAAGUUGGAAUGAUUAUAGAAAGAAACUCCUUCAUAGUAAAGAGAACAUAACUUUAGAAGAAUUGCAAAAACACUUGAUAAUUGAAGAAGAGACUAGGUCUCGCGAAUCCAAGGAUAAGCAUGAUUCUACUAAAGUUAAUGUUCUUGAAGCUAGUAAAUUCUCAAAGAAUUUUAAAGUCAAGAAUGACAAGAAAUUUAAGAAGUCCAGCACACAAAAGUUUUCUGGAAAUUGUUUCUUUUGUGGUAAGAAAGGUCAUCGCCAAAGUGAUUGCAGAUUCAAGAAAAAAAAAAGGAAGAAGUGGAUUCCUAUAAAGCUAAUGUUAUUGAAAACAAAUCUGAAAAGAUUUGUGCUAUGGUUUCUGAAAUGCAAAUUGGCAUGAUUAUCGAAACCAAUAUGGCUGAAACUAAGUCCUAUGAUUGGUGGCUCGAUUCGGGUACAACAAUUCAUGUUUGUAAUGAUAAGAAAUUUUUAUUAUCAUACAAAGAAGAAACGGAAGGACAAAUGGUUCUCAUGGGGAACAAUAAUGCAGCCAUAGUAGCAGGGAAAUGAGUAGUUGAGAUCAACUUCACUUCUAGAAAGAAAGUCACAUUGUAUAAUGUCUUUCAUGUACCUUUCGUUAGGAAGAAUCUUAUUUCUGCUAGUUGUAUGUGUAAGCAUGGGCUUAAGAUUGUGCUUGAGGGUAAUACUUGUAUUAUCUCAAAGAAUGAAUUAUUUGUUGGGAAAUGGUAUUCUUGUGAUGGAAUGUACAAACUCAACAUUAAUAAUAAUAAUAUCAACUUAGCUUAUAUUGUUGAGUCUUGUGAUGUUUGGCAUGCUAAAUUAGCACAUUUGAAUUUUAGAUCUUUGAAAUACAUGUCUGAGCAUGGUUUGAUUAAUUGCAAUGAUGUUAAAGGUCAUAAGUGUGAAAUCUGCAUCCAAGCUAAAUUAACUAAGAAACAUUUUCUUAAAGCCGAACGAAAUACUCAAAUAUUGGACUUAAUAUAUACCGAUAUUUGUGAGUAUAAUGGCGUUUUAACAAGAGGAGGUAAGAAGUACUUUAUCACUUUUAUUGAUGAUUGUUCUAGAUACACUUAUGUGUAUUUACUUAGAACAAAAAAUGAAGCUUUUGAUAAAUUUAAAAUUUUCAAAGCUGAAGUUGAGAACUAAAAAGAUAAGAAAAUCAAAAUGGUUCGUAGUGAUAGAGGUGGUGAAUAUUUCUCAAUUGAAUUUAAUAAUUAUUGUGAAGAAUUUGGAAUUAUUCACCAAAGAUCAGCUCCAUUUACUCCUCAACAAAGUGGUUUGGCUAAAAGAAAGAAUAAGAUCUUCACAGAUAUGAUAAAUUCCAUGAUCCUUAAUGCAAAACUACCAAAUAAUUUGUGGGGGGAAGCAUUACUCACUGCAUGUCAUAUUCAUAACAGAAUUACAUAUUUGAAAACACAUAUAUCUCUUUAUGAAAUUUGGAAAGGAAGAAAACCAAACUUGAUGUAUUUAAGGGUCUAGGGUUGUUUAGCUUUUUAUAAAAUACAUGAUCCUAAAUCAUCAAAGUUAUGUGCUAGAUGUAUAAAGAGUGUUUUCGUAGGAUAUGCUGAAAAUUCCAAGGCUUAUAGGUUGUUAGAUUUAGAUUAUAAUGUGAUUGUGGAAUCUAGAGAUGUUGAAUUUAUUGAGAAUAAAUUUCAACAUGAUUCUAAUAUUGAAUUAGAAUCAAUUAUUGAUCAACCAUGUGUUAAUACUCCUGUUACCUCCACUAACAAUAAUAAAAGGAAAGACUCUAUGACAUCUUUCGAACCAAUGAGGAGUCAAGGUGAAAAGAAAGAAAAGAGUUUAGCUCCGAAUUUUAUUUCAUCACAAGCACUACUCUUCUUGGUUGAAGGGGAUAGAAAGAAUGUACUUAACAAAGUACCAUUGUUGUUAAAUAUUGAAAAAGAUCCAAAGACAUUUAGCGAAGCUAUGUCUUCUAGAGACGCUUCUUUUUGGAGAGAGGCGGUAAAUGAUGAAAUUGAUUCGAUUAUUUCGAAUCAAACAUGGGUCUUGGUUGAUCUUCCUCCAGGAUCUAAACCAAUUAGCAGCAAAUGGGUAUUUAGAAGAAAGUACAAUAGUGAUGGUUCUUUGCAAACUUUUUAGGCUAGAUUAGUAGCCAAAGGGUUUAAGCAAAGAAAUGGUAUUGGUUAUUUCGAUACAUAUGCUUCGGUAGCAAGGUUAACUUCUAUAAGAGUGCUAUUUGCAAUUGCUUCAUUGAAUAAUUUGUAUGUGCAACUAAUGGAUGUUAAAACCGCUUUUCUUAAUGGUGAUCUUGAUGAAGAAAUCUAUAUGGAACAACCUGAGGGAUUUGUUUUACCAGGAAAUGAGAAAAAAGGUAUGCAAGUUAGUCAAAUCACUUUAUGGUUUAAAGCAAGCACCAAAACAAUGGCAUGAGAAGUUUGAUUCGGUAAUUUUAUCUCAUGGUUUUAAGCAUAAUAAUGCUGAUAAAUGUAUAUAUUUUAAAGUUACGAAUGAUUUUGGUGUGAUUAUAUGCUUGUAUGUUGAUGACUUGCUUAUCUUUGGAACAAAUAUGCAAGGAGUAGAUGAUACAAAGAAGUAUUUAACUUCACAAUUUAAGAUAAAAGAUCUUGGUGAAGUAGAUACUAUCUUAGGUGUCAAAGUGAAGAAACAUAGUGGGGGUUACUCGUUGUGUCAAUCUCAUUAUAUAGAGAAAGUGCUUCUUAAAUUCAAUUAUUUGAAAUUUAAAGAAGCUAAUACCCCAUAUGAUUCUAGUAUUAAAUUAUUAGAGAAUUCAGGCCGAGUAGUAGCACAACUAGAAUAUGCUAGUGCUAUUGGUAGCUUGAUGUAUGCUAUGCAUUGUACGAGGCCUGAUAUAGCAUUUGCAGUUUGCAAAAUGUCAAGAUUCACGAGUAACCCUAGUGUUGAACACUGGAAAUCAAUUGGUAGAAUACUUGGUUAUCUUAAAAGGACCAUUAAUUUGGGUUUGUUUUAUAAUGAUUAUCUUGAAGUACUGGAAGGAUAUUCAGAUGCUAGUUGGGUAACCAAUACAAGAGAUAAUAAAUCCACUUCUGGUUGGAUUUUUACAAUUGCUGGAGGAGCAGUUUCUUGGGCUUCAAAGAAACAAAUGUACAUAACUCAUUCAACAAUGGAAAGUGAGUUUAUAGCACUCGCAGUUGCAAGCAAGGAAGUAGAAUGGCUGAGAAAUUUGUUGUUUGAUAUAAUGUUAUGGCCACAACCGAUGCCAUCUAUUUCUUUGUACUGCGAUAGUGAAGCUACAUUGUCUAGAGCUUAUAAUAAAGUGUAUAAUGGAAAGUCUAGACAUAUUAGCUUGAGACAUGAAUAUGUGAAACAAUUAAUAGCAGAUGGUGUUAUUAAUAUUGUUUAUGUUAGGACUAAUAAGAACCUAGCGGAUCCUUUAACAAAAGGUCUUACAAGAGACUUAGUUAAGGAUACAUCUUUUGGAAUGGGAUUGAAACCUUUAAAUAAUAAAGUCACCAACGACGAUAACCCAACUAUGUAGUAGUUGCACCGCUACUCCAUAGUUAAAUGGAUAAUAACAAGUUGUUGUUAUGUGACUGGUUUGGCACCGAGUAAUAAAUAAUCACAUUCGAGAUAUUCGGUGCAAAUAGCUACGAGGUUGAGGUUGAGUAUUUACUCUUAAUGAAGUUCAAGUCUUAUACUAGCUAAAGACAUGAUUUGAAACUUCACCUAAGUGAACAUAAGAAAUGGUGCCGUUUCUAACAAGAUCAUGGUUUAAUCUAGUAAAUGUUUAUGAAUCCAAGAUAGAGCACAAGGCCGGAAUAGUGCUAAAUAUUGGAACACAACUUUGAAAAUCUGGGAUAGCUUAUAUGUGAUGUAUCUCCGGUAUUUACUUAAGAGACAAAGUUUAAUGCUUAGCACACUAUUGUUUUGUAAAUGCUUUGAAAUACACUCACUAAUUAAAGGUUAAAAUCGAAAGAUAUCGUUUUGUAUGUAUAAGUUUAUCAUUAAUAAAUAUGAAAAAUAUUACAAUCUAGUGGGGGAUUGUAAGAGAGAUUGUAACAUUUUCAAUCUUUGGUUUGAUAUUCUGGAAGAAAACGGUUUGCCGUUUAUGGAGAAAACGGCUAACUGUUUAAUUCCAAAUAGCAUGUUUUCUGUUCUAGAGAAAACGACUAACUAUUUGGAGAAAAUGGCUAACUGUUUAAUUUUAGAGAGCAUGUUUUCUGUUCUAGAGAAAACGGCUAACCGUUUGGAUAAAACGGCCAACCGUUAAUUACAGAGAGUAACUUAUUUGACAUUCUGGAAUAAAACGGCUCACCGUUAUUGAGAAAACGGCUAACCAUUUAUUUCCAGAGAGCGUGUUUUUGCGUCAACUGGAAAAACGGUUAGCAAGCUUGGAAAUUUCAAUUGUCAAUCGAUGCAAACUCAAACCAAAAGAGUGUUUUUUUAAAGAAGUACCAUUUCUAAUAGUUGUAUUCUUUCAAAUAAACAUCUUCUUUAUUAAAGAUAGACAAACAAUUAGAUCAUAAUCAGAUUUUGCAGGUUUCAUAUAUGUUUUGGAAAUACAAUCUUAUUUGCUAGAGAUUGUAUUCAGGAUUUGAUAUAUCUUGGGGGUAAUUUGCCAUUAAAACUCUAUAGCAAACCAAGAUUGGUGAGGGCAAAUAAAACCUUAAAGGAAAGUGUGCAAACACGUCUCAAAUCCUAAGAAUUGUUUUUUGUUCUUUGUCUCAAUAUUCUUAAAAUUCGAAAAUUCACCCAUCAUAUACAUACUACAUAUUAUUAAUUUUUGUUUUAUAACUAUAGUUUUUUUUUUACCGCAACUGUAGUUUAAAAACUACAGCACCUCAAUCCCAAAUAAGACCUUAGUAGAAGUGAGCGCGAAAGCCGAUCACCCAACAUUCGCGCUUGUGAGAGACUCCACUCUCUCCACUCCUUCCAAAUCCAAAAUCCUCGACCGUUUCAAAAAUCUCAGCUCGACCGUUUCAAAAAUCUCAGCGUCAAUUUAGUUCAUGUGCGCCACUCUUUUAGCUUUCCAAUUUUCCCGCCAAUUUUCUUUUAUUGUGAUUAAUUAAUUAAUUAAUGUAAAGAUUUUAUAUUAUAAUUUUGUUUGCAGGGAGAUCUAUACAGCCAUGAGAGCUUGGUGAGUACAAUAAAGCAAGUGGAUGUGGUGAUAUCAGCGAUAGGUCGCACUCAAUUAGCUGAUCAACUCAACAUUAUCGCAGCAAAUUGCGAUAACUAAGUACUUGGGAUUUUAAAGAAGCUGGAAAUGUUAAGGUUCUGAUUAACUUAAGUAAAUGCGUUAACUAAUUACUUGGGAUUUUAAAUUCAAAUGUGUGAAUUGUUCUAAAAAAUUAUUUAUGUUUAUUAGUCAGAGAUUCUUUCCUUCAGAAUUUGGAAAUGAUGUUGAUCGCGUGCAUGUCGUUGAGCCAGCAAGAACAUCAUUUGCCACCAAGGCUAAAAUCCGCCGAGCUGUUGAGGAUGAAGGAAUUCCAUACACCUACGUAGCUACGUAGCUUCCAAUUUCUUCGCUGGUUUGUAUCUUUCCAGUUUCUCACAGCCUGAAGCCACAGCUCCUCCAAGGGAUAAAGUGGUCAUCGUAGGUGAUGGAAAUGCAAAAGGCAAAGCGCUUCUGGAUACAUUUACUCUGUACACGCAAUGUGUGGUUACUGUUUGGAGAUAAAAAAGGAGAUUAAUUAAUAAAGAAAAUGAAAUUAUUGAGGGAUUUGCUGAAGAGUUGCGUGCACUCCUCAUUUUUCUCCACCACUCAUCUUACUUGCAAAAUGCAAUGACCAAACUAUCCUCGCCAAAGCCUAGACAUUUACUUGUGUUCAAAGGCCAUUUAAGGGAGACAAGUACAAAAAGUUAUAAAGGAUAGUAAGCAGAAGAAGAAAAUGGAAAGGGGAGGGGGGGGGGGGGAGAAUAAAAAAGGGGAGUGGGGCGUUAUCUAGGGAGGAUUUUUAUUUUUAUUUUUUUUCCUCUCUUCUCCAUGGCAUCUCUUUCUCUCUUUCUCCCACUAAGAAAUUCUUUCUUUUACACUCUAUUUUACUUUUAUGCAAAUUACGCAAAAAACUUUUGGUUUUAAGGCAAUGUUUAUUAAGCCACGUGAAUUUGAAAAAGCAUGAAUAAGGGGAUGAUUUUAACACAUUAAUUCACCAACAUUAAUUGGAAAAGAUCAGUUGCCACUUCGAAUCAGAGUAAUUUCUUCGGCAAUAGCCAAAUAUUGAUAUUUGAUCUUGACACUGUAGUUAAAUCAAUGUAACUGAUUUUGUCAUUUGAUCCCCAGUAAUUUUUAACAAGGAAGACGAUAUUGGGAUUAAUUCUAUCAAAGCGGUGGAUGAUCCAAGAACACUGAACAAAAUACUUUACAUCAGACCCCGUUGCAAUAUCUACUCAUUUAAUGAUCUUGUGUCUCUGUGGGAGGAAAAGAUUGGCAAAGCCCUUGACAGGGUCUAUGUUACAGAGGAACAACUUCUGAAAAACAUUCAAGGUUAGUUAGAACUAUCACUUUAUCAAGUGGAUAGAUGUAACUGACCGAUAAUGGAAAUUUUUUUCCUUCUCCAAAAUGCGAUAGAAUCUAAUCGGUUUCAACAAUCUCAAGAACACCUAUUCAUGGUUGUGUUGUUUGAAAUCUGUAUGUAUCAGUUUUCUUUCUAGAUCUCAGAUUGCUCGCAAGGAUGUCAAGUUUUGAUGAUGCUUGCCUGUUUUCCUGUGUUUACAGAAGCUUCAUAUCCACUCAAUAUGAUAUUACCUAUUGGGCACUCUGCCUAUGUCCUGGGAGAUCAGACCAACUUCGAAAUUGAACCUUCAUUUGGAGUAGAGGCAACAGAGCUUUAUCCAGAUGUCAACUACACUACUGUGGAUGAGUACCUCAACCAGUUCAUAUAAACCUUCUGAGAUGAGCAGCAGGAUCCUAACAAAAAAUUGGGUGGUUUCCAUCCCUGAUUCUAUGGUAUAAAGAUAGCGGCUUUCCCUGCUUUUGCCAGUUCAGUGAAGUUUGUUAGAUGAUGUUAUUUAUACUAUACUAGCAAAGAUCAAGUUGCCUUUCUUGUCAAGAAGCCAAGCUCUGGCAUUGGUUUAUGCUAGUUUUUCACACUAAUAUUGGUAUUCACUAAUUUUUUUUUUUCAUUUCACACCGCCAUCAUCAGUGGAGAUGCCCUCUUGUAUGGUACUAACUUUGAUUUUCCUUAUGCUUCACUUGCUGUCUCUGCAGAUUCGUAAAAGAUCAUUCAUGGAUAAGAUCAGAACAUCAAUUUGAUACAGUAUGCAUUGAGAACUCCCACAUGAUUCUUGUUCUAGUUCUGGUUAGACAUGAAACAUGUUACAGUUCCAUAACUUGAGACAUUGUCAUUCAACAAUUAUCAUCACAUUAAAACAGUGGCCAAUCCCUAACAGCUACCUUUUGACUCUUCACAUUUUUUUUCUGCAUUUUAUGCGCAUUAAUUAUCUAGACCUAGACUUAUUACACUUCUCAGCCUGGCCCGUUGGACAGUGAGUGAUGAAACAAAUUUUUUUUCAUGUUUAUUACUUUUUUUGCAUUCAAAAUGAUAAAACUGCAGAGGUUGUUGCAUGCACGUCAUUUGUUAGUAGGGGUAUCAAUUUAUGAACGUAUGAAGUAUCUCUUCUGCACCGGCAUCCUCCUUAACUGUCAGUAGGAUCACAAUAAGUCGACCAACCAUCUACCGUAUGGAUUAUCUAUAAAUUGAAAUUGGUGUGUAUUAUGGAUCUGUCACUCUGCUGCUUCUGUUUUCUUUUCUAUUUUUACCAAGAAAGAAACAUUGUUAAAACUGAAUGGUUGUUAUCUCGUCUUGUUGUAAUGUUGUGUAUGCUUUCUAGAAAAUAAUGAAGUGCCAAAUAUGAAAAUACUAGUGGCUACCUUACCAUCCUUAAUAAGUUGUCUGAUUGUCACCGUCAACAAUCACUCUCAGCAACUCAUAAUCCAUUUAAGCAUAUUAUAAAAUAAUCAAUUUUGUAUUUGCACCAACUUUUAGUUUUAAAUGACAAUUUCGUUGAUCCCCACACUUCUGUACUAAUCAAAUCCACUGAAACUGGACUUUUUUUUCUUUUUUUUUAUAAUUACAUCGAUUGCAUUGGCUAUUGCAGGGAAAAGACUGCCUCUACAGGGAACUAAACUUUCAGAAUUGAUCUUAUGAGGGUUUGAAUAUGCUCUCGUACUAGGUCAAUGGCCUAUUGGUUCGAGACCAUUCACAAAGAAAGAAAUGAGUUUUGCUUGUAUAAAUGAAAGAAAUCCAAAUGAUAACUAAUGUAUAGUGGUACAUGAGAAAAAUAAUUUCAGCCCCUGUGUAAAGUCAAAAAGAGAAAAUAUUAAAAGAAAGGAUAAUGUCAUUGAGUUCGGUGAAGUGAAAGAAAAUAAAAAACAUGGGAUUUAGUCAAACUUAGUGUCCCAAUCAGCAGAAAAAGGUUUUAGAAACUCACCUCAAGUUAAGCCAACUAUUAGGAGCUUUAUUUAAUCAUGGCUUUCUAAUGUAUAGUACUCCAAUACUAAACGAGGGCUACCUCUACGCUUGCAAAUGUAAAUGAAAUUGAGUUCGUGACGCACAAUGAAGUGAGCAAAAUGAGUUGAGAUCUGAGAAUAUAUUAAAGAAAAUAUGAAUCAAUGAAUUUUGGUUAAAAAAAACAAAUGCUGGUUCUUCAAGACCUGCGUGUAUUGUGUAAGUUUUGUUAGGAGAAGGAAAGCAUUUUGGUCUAAAACGCACUAAAUCGGAUUCAUUUGCUUGAUAUCUAAUAAGGGUGAAUUAACCACUCGCCCACAGCAAUUCAAGUACCCAAAAAAGUUUUGUGGGGGCUAAAUUUCUUCUUUAAUUAUAAAAAAUAAUUGAACGGAGGAUAAAAAUUUAGGCCAUGUAUAACAAUAACUAAUAUAAACUAGUCCUAAUAAUAGUAUAAUUGUAAAUAUCAGUUGUAGUCUCAUACAAUAUAAGUUUAUAGAUUAUAAUAUCGGCAUAAAAAGAAAAAUGAUAUCUGACGGUCAAUCAAUAAAAGGAUAAAAACUUUGGAGUAACAUACCACAAAGUCAAUGUAGCUGGACAGUGAAUAUAAUAUGUAAACAAAUUUAAAUGGGAUAAUACCAUACGGUACAUACAUAACAUUUUAAAACUGAAUUAAAAAAAUAAAAUUAAAACUGAAUUAGAAUUCGUAUGUGUAUCCAGCUACCUUGCCACAGUUGUAAGGUACCCUAACUUUGCAACAAUUUCAUCCUUCGUGCAUUCGGUCACAAAGUCCAAAUUAGGCACGUUUAAGAAUCGAACUGAAAAACUAAAAAAAAGAAUCCGGCGAUAUUUGCGAACCGGAAACGAGCCAGCGUUAUGCUUAUGUCAUUUCAGAGAUAUCAACAGUCGUGCUUUCAGUCCUUAAACCUCAAGGGCAUUUUCGUCCUUUCACUCAAGCGUGAAACUGCAUGUAAGAACUGCUUCGCUUACACGCUCCAUGCACAUUUAAAGGCACCACUGUCGGAUAAAAAAUAUCCAUCCAUUUGAUCAUUUCAAAACAAAACGAAAAAAAAAAUCUCAGUAAUUGAACUGAACGAGUCUCAGAAAUGGCAUCGAAAAGUAAGAUUCUAUUCAUCGGCGGGACAGGGUAUAUCGGUAAAUUCACUGUCGAAGCGAGCGUAAAAGCCGGCCACCCGACGUUCGUGCUCGUGAGAGAAUCCACAAUCUCUGGUCCUUCCAAAUCUCAACUCCUCGAUCACUUCAAAAACCUCGGCGUCAAUCUCGUCAUAGUGCGUUUUCAUUUUUCUCUUUUCUUAAUUUUUUAUUCCGAUCAUUUUUACACGUCGAAGUGUAGCAUCUACUACUUAAUAUACAUAAUGAUAUUAUUAUUUUUUAAUUUUUUUGGGUUGCUGUUAUUAUUAUGCAGGGAGAUGUGUUGAAUCACGAGAGUUUGGUGAAGGCGAUUAAACAAGUGGACGUGGUGAUAUCAACGGUCGGUCACACUUUAUUAGCUGAUCAGGUCAAGAUUAUUGCUGCCAUUAAAGAAGCCGGUAACGUUAAGGUAUAACAUAAUUAAUAUAAAUAUCUUGAAUUCCGAUCAGGAUUGUGCACUCGCGAACACGUGGUGAUUUAUUCUUGGUGUGGAGCUCGCUGUAGAGUAGAGCUCCCAGUUCAGCUAAUAAACACCCCGUCACAUGCGCAAUUGCGCCUCAAAAUAAUUUAAUUGAUUAAUUAAGGAUAAAUACCAAUGGCAUGAAAGCAAUUAAAAUUAGUUGAUGUUUAUAAAUUAUUUAUUACUCAGAGAUUCUUACCAUCGGAAUUUGGAAAUGAUGUUGAUCGAGUUGAAGGCGCCGUAGAGCCAACAAAAUCGACGUAUGACGUAAAGGCGAAAAUCCGCCGAGCCGUUGAGGCAGAAGGCAUUCCGUACACUUACGUAGAAUCUUAUUGUUUUGAUGGCUAUUUCCUCCCCAAUUUGUUGCAGCCUGAGGCCACUGCCCCCCCUAGGGAUAAGGUUGUCAUCUUAGGCGAUGGAAAUCCAAAAGGUAAUAUAAUUUAAUUAAGCUCUGUUUGUUUGGUAUGUAUUUCGGUGUUAAUGUUAUUGUCUGUUGUACAAUGGAUGGUCUUGCUUGGUACUGUUGUUGGAGAGCUGCAGUGUUUUGAUAAACACCUCUAUCCUUAGCUUUCAAGUUAAGUUGAUUUUAUACAACACUUGUUUAAUUCAAAACUUGUAAUAUUCUUACUACUUUGAUAAAAAAUAUUACGAUUAAAGCAUUAAUGGCACCAUAAUACGAAAUGAACCUUAAGUGGUCAUUAUAGAUUUUAAGAUAGAGUUUUAAGUGAUUACCAGAUACUUUAGCUGCUGAACCGCCACAUCAUGGUUGCCACACAACAAUUUCAAACAGAACCUAAAUAACUUCAUUGCAAAACAGUUAAAUGAAUCUAACUUAGUUUCGUCGUUUGAUUUUCAGCUGUUUUUAACAAGGAAGAUGAUAUUGGAACCUACACUAUCAAAGCGGUUGAUGAUCCGAGAACCUUGAACAAAAACUUUUACAUUCAGCCUCCCGGUAAUAUUUACUCAUUCAAUGAUCUUGUGUCUCUGUGGGAGAGAAAGAUUGGUAAAACCCUCGAAAAGGAGUAUGUUUCAGAGGAGCAGCUCCUAAAGAAUAUUCAAGGUUGGUUAAAACUCUCUUUUUUAAAUGUAUUAAAGAGAGCCGUAUAUUCUCUGCCGUAAAUGUCAUUGAUCCUGUCUUCUCCAAAAUGUUGCAGAAGCUGCACCUCCACACAAAGUGAUAUUAUCAAUUUAUCACUCUGCUUUCGUGAAGGGAGUUCAAACCAACUUCAAGAUUGAACCAUCUUUUGGAGUUGAAGCCUCGCAGCUUUAUCCUGAUGUCAAGUACACUACAGUUGAUGAGUACCUCAAUCAGUUUGUGUAACCCUUCGCUGUUUCCAGCUGCAGCUUGCAGGAUCUUGGACUGUUGGUAAAUAAAUAAUUGGCUUGUUGCCAUCUUUGGUUUUAUAUGUAAAAAUUAUGGUUGUUGGCCUUACUUUCUUCUGGUUGUCCAUGGAAUUUGUUAGACCAUAUUAUGUUUGCUAUGUCAGUGAUCAAAUGAAGUAGACCAUGUACUUGAUUUGAGAGUAGUAGUUAUAAAGCCAUCAUGAUCAGGUGGGUGCGUGGGUUGGGCUUCUAUUAGGGUGCGUGUGUUGGGGGGCUUCAGGGGCUUGUGAUAUGGGUUCGACAGCCCCUAACGGGCAGUCAUUAUAAAAAUGAUUAUAG
rnacentral:lncRNA from 1 species